CAAGUAAUCUACCAAUAAAUAUGCAAAUAUAUUUGGGGGUGUAAAUGGACAGUGUGCUCAUUAGUAGAUAUUUAAUUUACCCUAGGGUUACGAUCAAGCUGGUUUUGGUUGUUGCCGAUGUCAAGAAGACUGACAGCAACAAGAGGUUGAUCACCGUCAUUGUAGGACCAGUAGGUGACUCCGGCAGGAAUAGCAACAACGUCACCUUCUCUGAUGCGUCGAACCUUCUGGUGUCUGUCUAGCUGUUCGAAGCUUUCUUGUCCCUGUUGGCCUUGCUGGCCUUGUUGUCUAUGACGGCCAUGCUGUCCACGGUCUUGCUGCUCUUGUUGUUCACGGCCUUGCUGUCCAUGACGCCCUUGCCAUUGUUGUUGACCCUGUUGUUCUUCAUCAGAUUGUUCUGAUUCUUCAAAAGACUCAGGACAGCCAGGGAAUACAGUAGAUAGAAAACCAUUUCCUGCCGUAAUUAUAUGAAUAUAUUACACACCAUAUACAGAUACAUAUUAAUACAUAUCCAACAUUUAUAAUAUUAGAUAGAAAUGGUUCCGGUUACACAGUACCUUGGACAAUAUAUAUGAGCUGUGGUGCGUGGGUGUAAGAAGGCAAGUGAAGGCCAUUUCUUUCAACAGUGAUUCGUUGAACAGCAACACCAGCACACCGGAAGUCGUCCUGGUUGUAGUUCCAGGACUCGAUCCUACCCGCUUCAGUCUCAAUGCGGUUAUCAGGUUCGCGGGCUUGGAUCUGAUCAAGUUGGCACUCAUUCUGCUGGCUCGACUGAGAUUGUUGGCGCGCUGCUAAGCAGCUGUGGAAGAGGACAAGCAAGCAAAGAGAAAAGGCGAGAGCUAUAGGCUUAGCCAUAGUGUUGAUCAGAUAAGUAUAUAGCUUGUCGUGGUGAAGCGGCGAGUAGAAGGUGUGGUAUUUAUACUUUUAUAGGAUAGAGAAGCUGAAGAGGGAAGGAUAAGUACAACAACGUACAUCUGUAAAUAGUCUGAAGCCAUUCUUAUCUUUGCAUGGCAAAAGCAUUUCACAUUCUUACACCUCAUUUCUCCCAGGGCAGGUGGCUCAUGGCUUCAGAGAAGAUACAAAGUGCCUAACAAGGUGGGGUUUUGCCAUGAUUGUCUGCAAGUGAAGCGAAAUUCUACUGCCUUGAACCUGGUCCAAUAAAGAGCAAAAUUUAUGAGAGGACUAAGAUAUGUUCUUACCAGUUUUAGUAAAAUAGUAUUACAUCAGCACCAACCUGAUGAACAUCUUCUAUAAUGUAGGCAAGGUUCAAAAAUGGCUGUUCUUAUCUUCCUAGUAGCCAUCCAUACUCUGUCAUUUUAUGAGUCAAAGUUUAAUAUUUAAAACUUAUGUAGACAUUCCAACAAUAAAACUUAAAAGUUCUUAACUCUAGUUGGUAAUACUUUGACACGUCAAACUUCUUUGAUUUCUUCCAGAAGCAUAAGCAUCUGGUUCUCACGUUGCUAAUCACUUCACCUAUCUAGUUUUCCUACCAAAAAGAAUCUGAUAUAGAUAGAAAAGUUAGCCAUAAAUGUAGGACUUACUGUGAACAAUGUCCCAAUUCCAACCUCAAAGAUUAGAAUCUAAAAGCUCGUAACUCAAAAUUAUACAACAUCAUUAUAUUCACAAUAAAAAGUACUCUGACAUAAGGUUUAGUUCAGUUUAGUGCUUCUUGAAAAAAAAGAUGAAGACUUCAACUGUUCUACAACAUAAUUGUCUAUAUCUAUACUCAAAAUGAUCAAUAAUCGUUUAUCCUACCAUAUUUCUUGUAUGGAAUAUCUUGUUACAUUUUGUUUUCAUAGCAAAAUGUUGCAAUAUUUGAGUGAUAGAUACACUGCCAACAUGGUGUACAAGUUCCACAGCCAAGAUUUUUGGGCUCACGACAACUCUUAAGGCUUAAGAACCAGUAAUGCAUGGUUGAACUAGGGAGCAGCCAUUGCUGAAGGCUCCUCCUCAAAACGAUCCAUUGCUUUAUUACCCCAUGGUUGGAAAACCUGCCAACAGUCAAAAUUUCCUCUUCCCCCGCAGUCGAUAUUUUCUCAUCUCAAUAAAUUUUAUUCAUCCAAAACAUAAAUCCUUUUGUUUAAGUACCCGCCAGUAUAUCUAAUAUCUGUGACAAGCCGAGUGCUGACAGCUGAUAUUUUAAAACUUGGGAUUCCCUAUAGCCCCUCUCAUUAUAACCCCUCUAAUGUUAAAGCUUCUGCUAAAGACACAUCUCUAGUUCCUCGAGCUAAUGCUACAUCCGCAAUGCAAUUGUUCCCAUGCAAUGAUUAGCCAGAGGAAAACUCGAGGAGCUCCCUUGACUCUGAUCAAUUUAGCCUCAAGUCUCGAACUUGUUCUUUGAAAGUCAGUGAAGAGGCUACUUCUUUAACUGGUGAUGGUGCUCAACCAAUGUUAAGCCAGACAGAGGAUAGUUAAGUGAAUCUGGUCGGGAAGACCUAAAAAGAGCAAAACUUCUUGCUUUCCCUUGCUACACAACGAGUACUACUAAAAGGUCGAUUCCAACAAAAGAGCUCAGGAUGUUGUUAUUAAUGGGGUUGGGACUUGAGUUCUCGGGUGGGAAUGUGAAGGUGCAGCAGUUGCUUUGCAACUCUACUUUACUGUCCUUGUCCAAGCUGAUAAGGGUGGGACGACAUUGAACGGCCUUAUUUACAGGUCCUCUAUAUAUUGGAAUACUUGACUGUCUCAGAAAGGACUUGCCAAGUGAUUCCCUAAUUCUAAUGCUCAGACCUCGGCCUAUUUGAAAUGUCUGAUAGAAACUAGUUUGAGGAAUAAUUAGCUUCUUUACCUGUGAGUACAUGUUUCUAUGGAAGGUUUCUGUAAUGCUAGCUUUCCUUCUGCUAUAAGGAAGGUGACCAAGCUUUUAAUCCUAACACCAAAGUUAAACCUUUUCCAAAGAAAGGGGGUCAAAACCUGUAGAAUAUUAUGUAACAGGUUGAACCUAACACAUAAAGUUCAGCAAUCAUCCAUGAUCCAUCUUCUAUCAUAUUUUUACUGAACCAAAGAUUAAGUAAUCAACACUGGCAGUUGUUUAUGUAAGUUAUUCUGAUAAAGAAAAAAGAUCCAUCACUACCCUUAAACUUAUUGUGCCACAAAACACAAAUGACUUCAAUUGUUCCUAUCGCAUAGAAACCAAACUUUUGUCAUUGUUUCUUGGAAUUAUUCUGUACACAUCACUUCUGUGCAAUCAUGCACAAAAUAGAAUCAAAAUACCAUGACAAUGACAAAGGGUUUAAUUCAAUUUGGCACUUCUUACCAACACUAUGCUCCUCCAAAUGGUCCUCAUAGUCAAAGGGACUUCCCCAUAUCCCUUGUUCCAAAAUUAGCUUCUUUACCCAGAAUCAAUCAUCCUACUACGCUCAAAAUAUCUAAUUUCUCAAUACUCUACUGAUUCAAUUGAGUUGAAGACAAAGUAGACAACAAUUAACAGAUCAAAUGUGAAAGUACAUAAUUCAAUAGACUCACGAUUGCUGAGUUGCAGGUCACUGGUUGUGGUGUGUCUGAUCAGCAGGAGCUACGUUUCAAGCACGCCCUCGUGAAGCAAUCUCGUCCCCGACGCGACCUCUGGUAGUCGGAAUAUGCGGCCGGAUAACAUGAUCCGGCGAUCCCGUCUUUCACAUUGUGUUUGGUUGGACAUUGGCGGUUCCAGCAGUUCAGUUACUAUUGGUCUUCACCCUCUCAGCGCUCAACCUCUUCUAGUCUCUCCUUUUAUUCUUGUACUUGUCAGUUGUCACAGUUGCUAUCUAUGUGAUUGUUCCACGUGGAUUUUAUUUUCCUGCAAAUUCCCAAAUUAAUUAUUAUUUUGUCCAAAAUUUCCAGAUGAAUUGUUUGUUGUCUUUGAUGUUUUUUUUUCUUUUGUAAAAAGAUCGUAUGACCCCUUAUAUGGAUAUUUUCAGGAGACUUCUUGCCGCCUUCACGCUGUUCACGUUCCACAUACAUAUAUACAUGCAGCUCAACAUGCUUUUUCACCAACUUCACUGAGUUCUUUGAUGAUUCUAAUCAUUCGAUGGAAUCACAAAAUAGUUAGUUUAUACAACAGAGUUCGUGAGCUGCUUAUUUUAUAGUUUAAUUUUGGCGUGACGUCAUUAGUUAAAGCUCGACGAAGCAUGCUGUUUUUCUUUUCUAUCAAGAGCGUGAUUAGCUGGUUUGGAAAUUUCAUUUCUAUUUUUCUCGUUCUUAUUGAGAGUCAAACUUUGAAGAAAUGAUAGUCAAACUUCGAAGAAAUGAUUGGAGUCAAACCUGAUGAUUACAGACAAGGGGUGAGCUGCUGAUAUGCAAUUACAGCCAAAGCAAAUUACUGACUUAAAUCUAAGGGGCAAAGCUUCACAAUUUAGAUAAAACACCAACUCACCAAGUAUAGUUGAGGCAAAAAGAAAAUUCAUUUAACGAGAAUAUGACUACAAGAACGUAGUAGCUCGUUAUUUACUAGUUUGUACAUAAGAUCUCAUAUCUUCCGAAGAUGCCAUAUAAAGGCCAUUUUUAUUCACUCUACCCUUUAGCUCGCUGGUACCAUAUUCACUAGCUUAUUCACCGCACAAAAAACACUACGUGCGCAUUACAUACAUAUUCAUACUCAGACAAACAUCUCAGCAAUAUCCAACCAGUUCCUGUGGGAUCGAGGAGACCUUGAUGAGCUCAAAGCAACAGUCUCCUGCCUGUUGUACUUGAGAGUCCUUGCCUGUUGUCGAUCAAUCUGGUAUGCGUUAGCGAGGACCACGUCAGGGAGUGCCCGCAAGACUGAGGUCCGGCCAGCAAGAGUGUUAAUCUUAGCAUUGUCUUGGGUCUUGAAAGCAAUGUAUUCGAAUCCAUUGUUGCUAGCCUUAUGCAACACUGCAUGGUUCUGUGGCACAAUGAAGAGCUGGCCCUGGCGGACCUCGUUGUCCAAGAUGGCCUGGCCGUUGUUGUUCACAACCUGAACCCUAGCACUACCUCUAAUGACGUAGUAGACUUCAUGGGCGUUCAAGUUCCAGUGAGGACUGUAGAUAGCAUUCUGCAAGUACCACAAACAAGAUUAGUAAUCAUAAUCAAUAACCUCAAUUGAUUCAAAAGGACCUAUAUCGUUGAUUAUAUAUACUUACGUUAUAGAAGAAGCCUCUCUCAGCGCUGAGGUCAAGGUGCCUGAGAAUAGGCAACUUAAAGCUGUUGAGGGUGCUGAUGCGACCGGCUUGGGGACUGAAGACGUCAGCGCGUGAAGGCCUGCCGAUAUUCUCUUUGAUCCUGAAGUUGCAGAAUGUCUCCUCAAAACCAUUCCGUCCUUGUCCCUGUUGUCUCUGAAUUCCCUGUUGUUGUCUUUCCUCCUGUUCUGACUCUGCUGGCUGAACAAAGUCGAGACGUCCUUUAACUCUCACGAUUUGGGGUCUGUUGUCGUUCUGUCCCUGAAGCUGCUGGGCAGUCUGUUGAUCAAUGUUCAGAGCGUCAGCGAGGAGCUGUGUGUUGAAGCCGGCGAAGAUGUUCUUGUUGUUUCCUUCUUGUUGCUGGUGCCUGCUCCUUCCUCCUUGCUGUUGCUGGUGCCUGCUCCUCUCUCGUUGCUGUUGCUGGUCCUGGUCCCAUUGACUUUGUCCUUGCUGGCCCCGACGACUCUGGCUUUGCCCGUGUUGGUUAAACUCAUCUUGUGGAUUACCAGCCAGAUAGAAUCUCUACAUACAUAACACAUCAUGCAUGUGAUCAGAAAAAACUAGCAAGCCAACAGUAAGAGUGCUAUUGUACCUCCACAAAAGAAAAUAUAUACAUAUCACAUUUGCUAAUUAAUUUACCCUGGGGUUACGGUCAAGCUGGUUUUGUUGGUUGCCGAUAUCAAGAAGAUUGACAGCAACAAGAGGUUGGUCACCGUCGUUGUAGGACCAGUAGGUGACUCCAGCAGGAAUAGCAAUCACAUCACCUUCUCUGAUGCGUUGAACCUUCUGGUGUCUGUCUAGCUGCUCGAAACUCUCUUGUCCCUGUUGGCUGUGCCGCCCUUGUUGUCUAUGACGACUUUGCUGUCCAGGGCCUUGUUGCCCUCGUUGACCACGGCCUUGUUGUUCAUACUCUUCCUGUUCUUGUUGCCCGCGGCCUUGCUGUCCAUGGCGCCCUUGCUGGCCUUGCCACUGUUGUUGACCUUGUUCUUCAUCAGAUUGCUCAGAUUCUUCAAAAGUUUCAGGACAGCCAGGGAAAACAGUUGAUAGAAAACCAUUGCCUACAGGGUAUAAAUGAAUGAUUUUAACCACAUACGUACUUGUAUUCAAAAAAUUUAUACUAAAUUUAACCAAUUGCAUUUAUACAAUACCUUGCACUAUGUAAGUGAGUUGUGGAGCAUGGGAGUAAGAAGGCAAGUGAAGGCCAUUUCUUUCUAUGGUAAUUCGUUGAACGGCAACACCAGCACAUUGGAAAUCGUCCUGGUUGUAGUCCCAGGAUUCGAUCCUACCCGCUUCAGUCUCAAUGCGGUUAUCAGGUUCACGGGCUUGGAGCUGAUCUAAUUGGCAUUCAUUUCGCUGGCUCGACUGAAAUUGUUGGUGAGCUGCUAAGCAGCUCUGGAAGAGGACAAGCAAACAGAGAGAAAAGGCGAGAGCUAUAGGCUUAGCCAUAGUGAUGAUCAGAGAGAUAGCUAGCUAGUUGUGGUGAAGCGGCGAGUAGAAGGUGUGGUAUUUAUAGGAUAGAGAAGGUGAAGAGACAAAAAUAAGUACAAUAACAUUAAAGAUCUGAAGCCGUUCUUCUCUUUGCAUGGCAAUAGCAAUUUACAUUCUUCCACCUCAUUCCUUCCAGGGCAGGUGGCUCAUGACUUCAGAGAAGAUACAAAGUGCUAUGAAUAAGGUGGCAACCAGAAGCGGUUUGCAAUUGUCUGCAAGUGAAGCAAAAUUUUACACCCUUGAACCUGGUCCCAAUACAGGGAAAAAUUAAUGAGAGAAGUCAGAUAAGUUCGUUCUAAAUUUGGUAAAAUGAUAUUACAUCAGCCCCAACCUGAUGAACAUCUUCUAUGAUCCAGACAAGGUUCAAAAAUGUAAGAUCUCAUCGGAAAAAAAAUGUAUGUUAGAUAAGUACUGAAUGAUGUGUCAGGAACCUCAAGACAUUUUUCUAUAUGCAAUUUAUCAUUGUUUCACAUUCUUACAGCUCAUUUCUUUGACCAGGUGGCUUAUGGCUUCAGAGAAGACUCAAAGUGGCUUGAACAAUGUGUCAACCAGGUGGGAAUGACAUGAUUUUCAAAUGCAGCAAAGAUUUACUGCCGUGAAUAAUGCAAAAUUAAUUAUACAAACAAGAUCUAUAGCUGUUCAAUGCAUAGUUUGGAAAAGUAAAAUCAUACCAACACCAACCUGAUAAACUCAUCUAUGAUGCAUGCAUGGUGAAAAAUUAUAACAUUUUCAUCUUUCCUACAGUAAUCAGCAUAGUCUAUCCUUUCAUGAAUCAAAAUUAAUACUUCAAGUCUAUGCACAUAAAAUCUUACUAAAAAUAAUGCAGUUUAGUGGUUUAUAUAAGUUUCUUUGCAAACAAAUCUGAACUCCAUCACUAUUCUUGAAACUACUGUGACCCAUCAACGUUAUUACCUCAGCUAUCAACCAUUCUCAUGUCAUAAAGAUUCAGAAUUUGCAAUAUUACUCCUAGAAGUUCUCUGUUCAUCUACAGAAAGGAGUCUCGUAGAAGCUACUGUUGUGAUAGAAGCUAGGAUAGCUAAUGCUGCAAAAUUGAUCUCCGAGAAGCUAUUGUUGUUAAAAUCCCAUCUCAUAAAAUUUUCUCCUGUUUCAAAAAUUAAAAAAUAUAAAAAAUUGUCUCCCUUUGAUUAAAGCACCCUGAACACCAGAAAUGGUGUCACUUAAAACCUCUCUCAAUCUCCAAGCUAACACUUUUGCGAUAAUUUCAUACAAGCUUGAUAAUCAAGCUGUGGACUUCUGUAGAUGAACAGAGAACUUCAAGGAGAACUACCACUUUUGGACUAAUUUUACAACCAAGACUUUACUUCUACUACUUUGUUAUAAAAGAUUGCAAGGCAUCAAUAGACGAUAUAUAGUUGAUAAGACUGGAUGCAAUCCACUCAAAUGCAUUUCAAAAAACUAUAUUCAAUGAGUAAUUUGAGUUGUUUUUUUCUUCCAACUCAAAAACUUGAACAAACCUCGAUUCUAAUACUCUAAACAAAGAAUUUAACCCGGAAUCGAAAGAUCAAUACUGAAAAACAUAAUCUGAUACAUAAACAUGUGUUAUCAUUUGUAAAACAUCAGAUACAACCUAUUUGCACAAAAUGGGUUACACAUCUCUAACAAAGGCUUAGACUUUAGAUAUCAAAAGAAUUCCAAUUUGUCCUCUUCUACACAAUUCUAACAAAUGCUCAAGUCCUUUAAGGCCUUGUAUUUAGAUGCUAAGAAGAGUAAAAAAUGGGCCUAUUGGCAGGAUUUAAAUUGAAAAUCUUGAUUUAAAAAUGGUUGAAUUCCAGAUCAGUCUACAGAGAAUCUAGUAAUUCUAUGCUUCAAAAACUCAUUUGCCCCUCUUUAAAUCCUCACAAUGUGGGGUUGAUUAGCUUCCUUUAACCAAGAGUAACAUGGUUCUAUGAAAAACAAGCAUUAAUGAAUCAAACAGAGAUCACAACACAAUAACAAAUAGAUCAAACUUUGAAAUCAACUAAUAUUAGACUCCCAAAUUCCAAGUUCAAGUAGGCUGUUGUUGAAUCACGCGUUACCUCGCGAAGCGAGUCUCGCUUCCCACGACGUUGCAUUUCUUGCUCGUCGGCGUAUGACGCCGGAGAAAACGAUUCGGCGACCACGUCUUCCAUUUUUCCCUUCAUUUUCUGAUCCUGGUUUGCUCUCUGGUUUUCUACCUAUUGUGUUGGGCUUUAUUACAUACUUUUGGGUCCUUUUUCCUUUUAUUUUUCUUUUUCUUUCAUUUUAAAAGUCGAAUAGUUUCCUAAUAUUUCGAAAAAUUAAAAGUCGAGUACCUCACAGUAUCUAGUUUUUAUUUGAUAAAUCAGUAUCUAGUUUUUUUUUUUUAAGAAAGAGCUUCUAGUUUUCAUAUUCAUUUGAUAAAUAAAAGUAAUUUUAACCUCUCGUGUGCAUUUAAGUUGUCUAUUAUGGUGAGAAAAGUUUCCUAAAAGAAAACUAUGGUGAGAAAAACAAGAGCAUUCGAAAUGAGAAGAACAUGAAGGUGGAUUUGAGAGGAGCCAAAACGCGAAUCAAAGGAAGAAGAAAGAGAUUUCAUUAGAAAAAAGUGUAACGCGAAUCAAAGGAAGAAGAAAGAGAUUUCAUUAGAAAAGAGUGUUUGAGACUACAAGUAGAGUAGCUAUUUAUUAACUUGUGGCAUUAGAUCUCUCUCCUAGUACCACGAGACCCAUAUAAAAGGCUACUUUUAUUGAUUAUCUACCUCUUAGCUUAGCAAGUACCACAUUAACACUACAUGCCGCUAAAUUUUUCAUUUGCUCCCAUCAGUAUCUCUAGAACUGUGAGGACCUUGAUGAGCUCAAAGCAAGAGUCUCCUGCCUGUUAUACUUGAGGUCCUUGCCUGCUCGCGGUCCAUCUGGUAGGCGUUGGCGAGGACCACGUCGGGGAGUGAUCGCAAGACGGAGGUCCUGCCAGCUAGAGUGUUGACCAUGGCAUUGUCAUUGGUCUUGAAGGCAAUGUACUCGUACCCGUUGCUCUGGGCUUUUUGCAACACGGCGUGGUUUUGCGGCACGAUGAAGAGUUGUCCCUGGCGGACCUGGUCGUCCAAGAUGGUCUCACCGUUGUCGUUCACCACCUGAACCCUGGCGCUACCUCUGAUGACAUAGAUGAUCUCAUGAGCAUUCAAGUUCCAGCGGGGGCUGUGGAUAGCAUUCUGCAUGUACCAUUACCAGAUAAAUUUCAGGAUUAAUUGAUCAAUAGGUAACUAAAUUUAAUUAUUAGAAACAUACAUGCUAGAAUACUCACGUUGUAGAAGAAACCUCUCUCAGCGCUGAGACGGAGGUGCCUGAGAAUAGGCAUGCUGAAGCUGUUGAGGGUGCUGAUGCGACCGGCUUGUGGGCUGAAGACGUCAGCCAUGGAAGGCUUGCCGAUGUUCUGCUUGAUCUGCAUGUGGCAGAAUACCUCCUCAAAGCCAUUCUGGCGGCCCUGUUGUCCUUGCAGUUGUCUUUCCUCCCUCUGUGACUCUGGUGGCUCGACAAAGUCGAAACGUCCCUCAACCCUAACAAUUUGUGGCCUGUUGUCAUUCUGUCCCUGGAGCUGCUGGACAGUCUGUUGGUCAAUGUUGAGAGCAUCGGCGAGGAGCUGGGUGUCGAAGCCGGCAAAGACAUUGUUGUUGUUGUUACCCUGCUGUUGGCGCCUGCUCCUUCCUUGUUGUCGGCCUUGCUGUCCCCGUUGGCUUUGGCCUUGUUGUCCUUGUUUCCACCAUUGGCUUUGGCCUUGUUGGUUGAACUCAUCUUGCAUGCGGGUUACCAGCAAGAUAGAAUCGCUACAAAUAGAGAUCAAGCAGCAAGCAUUGAGUGAGUUAACAAUGUAAAAUAAGUUGUUAACUUCAUGUUUAGAGUAAAAUUGUCAGUAAAAAGGUGUACCCUCUUGGGUUUUGGUCAAGCUGGUUGUGGUUGUUGCCGAUGUCUAGAAGAGUAACAAAAACAAGAGAUUGAUCACCAUCGUUGUGAGUCCAGGUUGUGGCUCCGGCGGGGAUUGCGAUAACAUCACCUUCCUUGAUGCGUCGCACCCUCUGGUGUCGGUCUAGCUGUUCAAACUCUUGUUGGCCUUGCUCUCCGAAUUGCCCUUGUCGACGUCCGUGUCGCUGGCGGUGGCCUCCGCCUUGUUGGCCUUGCCAUUGUUGUUGCUGUUGUUCUUCAACAGAUUGCUCAGACUCCUCAAAUGUCUCCGGACAGCCAGGGAAUACCAUCCCUAGAUGACCCCUACCUACAGUAGUGUCCAAAAAUAGCAAGCUAAACACAUGCUUAAACACCACUAGGUGCAAUUUACUGAAUAAUAAAUAACGGACUGUUUUGCACUUUACCUUGUACAACGUAAACAAGCCUUGGUGUGUUAGUGUAGGAAGGCAAGUGAAGGCCAUUACGCUCAAUGGUGAUUCUUUGAACAGCAACACCAGCGCACUAGAAGUCAUCCUGGUUGUGAUCCCAAGACUCGAUGCGACCUGCUUCAGUCUCAAUACGGUUGUCAGGCUCGCGGGCUUGGAUCUGGUUCAGCAUGCACACAUUUUGCUGGCUGAACUGAGAUUGUUGCCGACUGGCUAAGCAGCCUUGGAAGAGAACGAGCAAGCAAAGAGAAAAGGCAAGAGCUAAAGGCUUGGCCACCAUUGUAACAAUCAGUGGUAGAUAGCUAGCUGUGGGUUGUGGUGAAGCGGCGAGUAGAUGGCGUCGGUAUUUAGAGGAGAGAGGAGGAGGCGAGGAGGAGAAAAAUACAAGGGAUGAGAUUCUCUUUGCAUGCUAUUAGUAUCUCAAAUUCAUACACCUCAUCUUUAUACCUGGGCAGGUGGCUAUUGGCUUCAGAGGAUAUAUAUACAAAGUGCCGAGAACAAUGUGGCAAACAGGUGGGGGGUGGUCAUGAUUGUCUGCAAGUAAAGCAAAUUGUACUGCCUUGAACCUGGUCAAGUUCAUGAAAAAGUUCAUUCAAGAUAUCAGGUCUAAUCUGUUUCAUGUUUGGUAAAGUAAAUAGAGUAGCAACCUGGACCAUAUAUAAUCUACACAGGUGAGAUAAAAAAACCUUAAUUUACCAUCAUGCAAUAGCCAGAAUCCAUCUUCAAUCCUCUAUGAUUCUAUUAAGACUUAAAGCACAUUUACCCUCUUCAAGAAUUCACAUUCCAGCACUCUUCUAAAUGACUCUACUUGAUGAAAUUCAAAGUACCUCUCGCUAUAUUCUGGGAAUUACUGUGAUCAUCAGAGCAAUUACCUCACCUAUUAACUCAUAGUAUGCUUGAGCUAAUGUGAGAUCAUUCCUUAUAUAAAUGAGAAUGCAAUGCCUAACAUAAGUUUUAUGUGUAUAAUACAAUCAUAAGAGACUCACUGAUUACAAUUAUAUGAAAUAUAUGAAACAAAAGCACAGAAAAUAGACUUCUGGAAAAAGAACAUAUUUCUACAAGUGAAGGCUUAUUAUUUACACUAGUCUCACUGAUUUCCAUUUGGCUCUUCUGACCAAAUAGACUUCUGUAAAAAGUACAACAUUUGAGCCCAUGAUCACCCUCUACUUGGAAAUACCAUUGAUUCUAAAACAUAGUCCUUACAGUAUUUGUGGGAACUAGAUUAUUGGGUCAGUUUAGCUAAGAUUAAACUGUUAACAAAACCAAGCUUUAGAACCCAAUUUAGCAAAAUGAACAUACAAUAGUGUCACACCCCGGACCGUGGUUUCCAAGCACCAGACGCCGAACCCGAGGCGUGAGCGGGAAAAAUAAAAGAAAAUAAAAUAAUUUCAAAUACUUUUCCAGAAAUUGUUAAAAAAAAAGAAAAUAAAAUGUUUUACAAUAACAAAACAAUUACAAAGACAAUAAGAUGAGCCCUUGCGAUCUAGCUCAUUUUUAAUCUUUCGUAACUCUUUUCUACUCUUGUACACGUCUCCUAAACUUCAUAGUCUCGAAAUACGUUCCUCGUACGUACCUGAACAAAAGUCUAUAGGGAUGAGCUUACGCUCAGUAGGGCCAAACCUUUUUAGGUUAUACUUAACUAGGUUGCACAAACAAGUUAUCAAGCAAUGUCAAACAAUACUUUAAAUAAAUAACGGCAAUUCGAUGCAUGUAUGCUAAUGAAUGUCUUCCUCAAUUACUAGCUAUCAGUCCAUACAUCAAAGAUAAGUGAGCCUACACGUCUCAUACCGUGUAUUUUACCAACCGGGGAUAACUCAAAUGUCUCGAAUAUAUGAUCUAACAAUCAAUAAAAUCUCACCACCUGUACCUCUUUUGUUAGUCAUCUUGUUAUAUUCAUGGUCUCCAAACCUGAAACCCGAAGAUCGUUUUAUCGAUGUCCGCCAUCGAAGGGGCAUAUAUACUUUCCCCACUCAUUUGCGCAUGUGGGCUGGCAUGGAUUCAUGGACAACCCAUGAGAAAACUCAACUACACAAAAUGUAUAUAUUCUCUAAAUCUCAUUCUCCUCUCCAUAAUCAUCAUUCUCACCAUUCUCACAAUUCCUCACAAUGUUUUACACACUACAAGGACAAACACUUUAGCCGACGAAAAAGUUUCGUCGGCCUGUUAGCUUAAUUUGUCGGCUAAGAUUUCGUCGGGAAAAGGUCGUCGGCGAUGACUUUAGCCGACGAAAAAAGAAGACGUCGUCGGCUAUAGUCCCACAAUUUAGCCGACAAAAAACAUGUCGUCGGUUUUUUUCCCAGACUUUAGCCGACGAAACAAUAAGAUAUUCGUCGGCUAAAGUGUGUAAUAAAAAAUUAAAAAAAUAAUUAUAGCCUACCAAAUAUAGUCUGUUUCGUCGGCUAAACCUUAUAAAAAAAUUAAAAAAAUAACUAUAGCCGACGAAAUAUAGUAUGUUUCGUCGGCUAAACCUUAUAAAAAAAUUAAAAAAUAAAUAUAGCCGACGAAUAUAGUAUUUAAAUAUCGUCAGCUAAAGUUGCUGGUUUUUGAAAAAAAAAACUGCAGAAACUUUCGGCCAACUCCAAUCACCACCAAAAUUUGAUAGAAUCUUCCUCUCAACAUUUCAAACAACUUUCUAGAAGAAGUCGAAUCCCAAUUCUAAACCUAAACAGGUCAAUUGAAUCAAAAUAUAAAAAUCCCCAAUUUUAAACCCUAAAAACUUCAAAUCUUUGAUUCUCCUCACACACACCGAAUCGAGCUACCAAAUUCUAGGGGAAUGUAGUACUAAUCAAACUCAACUUAUCCAUAUAUAGAACUCACCAAAUGGUGACCUGAGGAAUGAGAAAUUCGAUCGACACCGAAUCCAAACCGGCGGAGUUUUGGAGCUCGAUUUAUCCCUCACGGCGGCGCCACUCGAUGCACCACCUAUCCAGCAAUGAAGUAGAGACAACGACGAAGCUUUUGGGACAAGUGUGGCGGUCUCCAGUUGCUUGACGGCAGAGCUAGGCCGAGAAGAAAAUCCGGAACUUUUUCUGAUUUUCUGACUUCUUACCAUCCACCUCUGGUAAAACUCCUAUAUAAAGAACUUUACCCGACGAAAUUCUUUAUUUUCGUCAGCUAAACUCUUUUGAAAAUUUUUGUUGACCGCCAAAAAAUUUGGUUGAAAAUUUUAAAAAUUUUUCGACUUUAGCCGACGACUUUUCAUAUAUUUUCGUCGGCUAAAGUCCUUUGAAAAUUUUCCUCCAAAUUUGGUUUACCGCCAACAAAAUUUGACCUUAGCCGACGACUUUUUUAGUAUCUCGUCGGCUAAAGUCUAUAAAUUCACGAAAACGCUCAUAUCGAUCUCCCUCUAUAUUACGUAGUUUGGUCAAACAUUCCACACGAAAAACUUUCACAUAGAUGAGACGCAACCGCCUAUAUAAAAAUUUUGAGACAUUUACCUUCCGACGAUAGGGCUCCCCAUAGGGAAUAAUAACGGUAAAUAGGGUUAACCGCUACUAUCGGCACCGAGACGUUACCCAGUUUACGUGGAUUUUGAACCAUAGCCGUAAUUCAUCAUUCUGAACACAUCUUAUUUCACAAGAUUUUUGAUAAUUUUGCUUCCUAUGUUGUAUAACCUACUAAACAAGUUAUACAACAUUACUAGACACGUGAUUCCGAUGACUAAAAUUCACAAACCAAAAUUCGACCAUCAGAUAUGAUCAUUAUGACGAAAGAUGUCUAUAGUAAAAAAUUUAACUGGAUUCGACAACGUUAAGGGCUCGAUCGAAACGGUCAACUCUAAUCGGAAAUAAGAAAACUGCAUUUUGAAGCCCUAAACGGACUCGGAUGGCCAAAAAGGCCCAUAUGUGAUGGCAUAGCGAUGAGUUUGACUCGUAGGGCCGUUACGCUUCUAGAAAUGUAUCACAAUAGUCAAUCGGACGCCGAAUGCCAAAUCUGCAGCAUAAUUAAUACCGGGUUUCGACUGUUCUACAUCAGAGACGUUACCCGAUUUACGUGAUUUUUGAACCAUAGCCGUAUUUCACCGUUCUGAACACAUCUUAUUUCACGAGAUUUUUGUUAAUUUUGCUUCUAUGUAGAGUUGGUUCACAAAGUUGUGUAUUUGUUUAAAACCUACUAAGCAAGUUAUACAACAUUUUAUUGUUUUUCUUUUAGCCGACGACUUUUAUCGAUAAUAGCCGACGAGUAAAAAUAUUGGCCAACGAAGGAAAACUUUUUGGUCGACGAAAAAAAAAUUUCGUCGACUAAAGUAUCGUAUAGCCGAUGAAAAAAUUUCUUCAGCCGACGAAAAUUUAAAUUAGCCGACGAAAAAAUAAUUCGUCGGCCUGGUUUUUUUAUUUUCGUCGGCUAAAACCUUUCUUUUGGUAGUGACACAUGUCAAAUGAAUAUCAAUACACGUUAUAUUAUUUUAAACAACAUGUUUUUUACGGAAAACGAUAACAUCAAUCAUAUAUAUCAACAAAUACACAUGUUUUUAACAAAACAAUAACAACCAAGAGUUAUCACUCAAUGACAAACAAAACAUCCAUUUCAAUUAUAAUCUAAUUAUCAAUUUAAGAAAGGUUCCCCGAGAAAGACCCUACCUGGAAUCCAAAUGCUACUUCCGACGCUAGCUAAAAUUAGUAACUCUGCUGAAAUCCUUAUCCUGCUACUUCUGCAAUCCAGCUACUCGCAUUCGAUCCUCGUACCGAAUCCUCAUUCCAAGAAUAUUGACAGACCACUUCAAAUCAGCUUGAUCUAAUUCUGAAAUUUACUAAGGACACCCAAGUCCUUACUUCCGAUUCUUCGACAUUCACUACUUAAUUCUCUCAUAGUAUCCAAACUCACAAUUGUGCUCCAAAUACGAAAUCCAUCUCCAAACACCAACCCAACUUCAAAUAGAAGUUAAUAUUUUUAUCUAAAAUUACUCUCUACACCCAAAACUCCCAUUAUAAAUCUCAAUACAGCUUGAUCAUCCUUCCCUCUUCUCCUUUGCACCAUUUCACAAUAUCUUCCUUGUAGACCCAACAAGCAAACCUCCAGACUUGUUCAUGAUGAACAUGUUCAUAUACGAGCACUUCCAUUACAUAAAUUAAAAUCAUUCUUCUACUUCCACAACUCUCAAACAUUAGACCAAACAAUUGUAACAACCACUGUUCUAACACUCGAGCCACAAUCAGCCUUCCAAUCAUCCCCUUCUCUCUCUUUUGAACGUUCAAGAAGCAUCAACACCAAUUCAAGUUCCUGAGCAAAGCCAGCACCGCCAACAACGCCACCACACACGGCAGCCGACGACUGCCCCGAAAUCAUCAACUCCUCCAAUCUCAAAUUCAAUUACAACCAACCAUGAAAUUAUAUUUUAAAGCCUCUAUCAAUAUCAAAGAUAGCUAAUCCAAAACCCAAAACAUUAUCAACGCCGCCGUGCACAGCAGCCGCGCACGGUGGUCGACUGCCCAAAUUCCACCUUCUUCCAAACAUAACCAAAUAUGAAUUCCACUUAUAUAAACAGGUAGAGCUCGACGAGAAGAUCAAGUUUCAUACCUCACUUGUCAUCGACGGUGGCCUGAAAGUUUCGAACCCUCGCCGGAAAACUCCUUGAGCUUUAAUUAAUCGAUUCUCACUCAUGGAGGCUCCUCUUAAUAUACGAACAUCAUGGAAGGGUUUCUGACAUCGAGACGAAGCUUCAGCUAUCGAUGAGAGGCGUCGACGCUGCCGGAAUCGAAAGUUGACCCGCGAACCCAGCCUCUCUUUCUCCCCUUCGAUUCUCUUACCCGACCUCUUCUGAAGAAACUGAGGACAUAGGGAAGACCACGAGAACGAGAGGAAGCUACCAAUACCCGUCACACUCGCCGUCGUGGCCGAAAUCACGAACUCGACCGGAAACCCAGAAAUUCUUCUCCUCCUCGAUUCUCUCUCUCCUCAGCUUUCCAUGGAAAUCCAACAUCACAAUCGUGUUGGGGACGACUAGACGGAGCUUUUGACACCGGUCUUGCACCGGGAAAUAGCUGGACCACAGAGGAAGGAGCUGAGCUCCGUCGCUGCAGAGCAGCUCGAGACCGAGUCGGUCUAGGCUUGUACUGAUCCAGUCCAAACUAAUCCCCUGUAUAUACAUACCUAAAUCGAUGGCCUAGAUCUAGCGGCUUAAGAGAUCCAACAGUCUAGAUCAUGUCAGCAAUAAGUCUAUUUUUAAUUAAAUUUUUAGAUAAUACAAACUUCUAAAAAUCAUUAAAAAUAGCUCUGAUGUCCAAAAAUACUUCCGUAAAAUUCUACAAACUCAUAACGACGUCUAGGUUAAUCCUAUGGGCUCGAAAGACAAAAUCGACAAACUAAAAAUUUGAAUAAUUUUCAACAAGCCACAAAAAAUUAAAAGAAUAAUAGAAAUCGAAAUAAAAAUAGCUCGAAAAAUAAUUUUCCUUUUAAAAAUAGAAAACUGAAAUUCCAGGAUGUUACAAAUAACUUCAGGAUUUCAAUUACAUGCAAAAGACAAGAGUUAGCAAGUAACUAAACCUUGGAAUUUAGAAUUUAAAUUUCAAGCCAGUGGUUAUUGUUGAACCUGUUACGAAGGAAAUGAAGCUCAGUCGACUGUGUGAUCGUCCGGUGUGGUUCACCUGAGUACCGUCGCUUGAUACAUUGAUCGGUUCCAUCUUACUCCGCAUUCCUAAUUGCCCGCUUCUCACUGGUGGCUGUCGUUUUCGUUUCUUUCGAAUAUGAAUUUUGUGUUGGGCUUUCGCAACUGUUAUUUGGGCCUGUAUACAGUAGUAUUAUCUCUCUCUCUCUCNNNNNNNNNNNNNNNNNNNNUAUUAUCUCUCUCUCUCUCUCUCUCUCUCUCUCUCUCUCUCUCUCUCUCUCUUUUCAAUAACCUGUCUUUUCUUUUUUAUUUAGAGAAGAUUCUACAACUUUUUGUUUCAAGACAUCUUUAUUUAUUUAUUUAGAGAAGAUUAUUUAUGAGGCUAUGUCAAAGAGAGAGCUUCUGCGACUGGAGUAGUUGACAUACCAUAGUUGAACGAAGCUACAACCCAUGGAUGGUCGUUAAUUGUUGGUGCUAAUCACGAAUCCCUCAACUGCAGAGUUUCUCCUGACCGAUCUAUCAAAGUUGAUUUUAACCCUAUCCCACAACCACUAUCCGGUUGCUGAAGCUCUAGCUCUGCGCAAUAGCCUCGUGUAUGCUAAUUAAAGAGCGAGGCUUCUCCAAGAUUGAAGUUGAGGGCGAUUCUAAGUUGGUGAUUGACGCCGUGAAUGGAGUGUCGACCCCUCUGUGGAAGUUACUCAAACUAAUUCAUGAUAUCAAAGUCUUGAGUAAUUCCUUUGAGUUUGUAUGCUUUCAGCAUGUGUUUAGGGAAGCAAACUUUGUGGCUAAUGCUUUAGCCAAUCUUAGAUAUAGGCUGAGUAACCUACGCUGCUAGGAGAAGUGUGUUCCCCCGGAAGUGUCUUCUGCUCUUGCCUUUGACAUUGUAAACCUUGGGUGCAUUAGAGACACCUCCAUCUAAUAUAUUUUUUUUUNNNNNNNNNNNNNNNNNNNNNNNNNNNNNNNNNNNNNNNNNNNNNNNNNNNNNNNNNNNNNNNNNNNNNNNNNNNNNNNNNNNNNNNNNNNNNNNNNNNNNNNNNNNNNNNNNNNNNNNNNNNNNNNNNNNNNNNNNNNNNNNNNNNNNNNNNNNNNNNNNNNNNNNNNNNNNNNNNNNNNNNNNNNNNNNNNNNNNNNNNNNNNNNNNNNNNNNNNNNNNNNNNNNNNNNNNNNNNNNNNNNNNNNNNNNNNNNNNNNNNNNNNNNNNNNNNNNNNNNNNNNNNNNNNNNNNNNNNNNNNNNNNNNNNNNNNNNNNNNNNNNNNNNNNNNNNNNNNNNNNNNNNNNNNNNNNNNNNNNNNNNNNNNNNNNNNNNNNNNNNNNNNNNNNNNNNNNNNNNNNNNNNNNNNNNNNNNNNNNNNNNNNNNNNNNNNNNNNNNNNNNNNNNNNNNCACUCUCUCUCUCUCUCUCUCUCUCUCUCUCUCUCUCUCUCUCUCUCUCUCUCUCUCUCUCUCCACCGUUGAGCAGCAACGAUUCUGGCAACACCGGACGGCGAGACCGCCACUGAAGUGAUCCUCUCCUCCUCCUCAACUCAGCCCAGUCCUUUAAUUCGGAAGACAUCCACUUUUGGCGGAGAUCGAUGGAGGAGGACGGUGACUAUCCUUCAUUGUUUUCCGGCGAGGGCUCAGGCUCCGAUCACUGAUCCACCUAGCGACGGUGAGUCCCUUCCUCCUCUCUUCCUUCUGCACAGUCUAGUGCUUUAUUUCCUUCAAAUCGAGACCUAACUCAGAAAUCCCCUUGUGUUUCUGAGUUUCUUGAGCUUCUUUUCCUGCGAUUGUGUUCUUCGUGUUCUGGUGGCGACCACGAGCUCCGACGAGCGUAGUUCAUCCUUGGAGAUGCCGGGACUUAGAGUUGGGAAGCUUUGGGGCAGUUGCUGUUGUGCAGCAUCGUGGCAAAGGGACUGCUUAUUGAUUUCAAGCAAGGAGAGGUUGCUGGGUUUGAGUGGUGUACAGAUUGGAGGUAAGGAGUUUGAUUUGGUCGGCUGUGUUGUUGUUUGUGUUGCGGUUAUUGAGUUGGAUUGUGACUAAAAUCAUUGUUGUGGUUGAUACUUGUCGAUGUCAAUAACUUGGUGAUAGGAGUUUAUGAGGAGGCUAUGGCAAAAUUCCGGUAAGUCGUCGGAAUCUGGCAAGAGAUUUCGACGAGGGCAGAAUCAUGCAGAGACUAUUGAGGUAGUUAUCGAUGUUUUUCCCUGCUAUUGUGUAUCGUUUCAAUAAUAGGAAAGUUUGUAGGUUGUAAUCGGAAAUCUUUCUAAGUGAGGAAAGUUUCUAUUUUAGGAAACUUUCCCUUUUUGGGAAACUUUCUAUUUAUGGAAACCCAUUGUUGGGUGCCCUUAGUGAUUUAUGGGGUGAAGUUGUGUUGAGAGGAAGUAUAUGGGGAUUGUAUGGGUGAAGAAACAAUUGUAAUUGUGUUGUAAUUGAGGAUUUCUCGGAUGAAGAAAUUGGAUAAUCGAGGAAUGGAUUUAGUGAAAAGGUUUGUUCUUAUUUAAGAUCUAAUUGAUUUCAAGUGAAGCAAAUAAUUGAUUUAUUAAAAUGAUUGUUGGAUUUGAAUUGGAUGGUUAAGAGUAAUCAAGGUAACCCGAAUUUUCAAGUCGAAGGUUAGAGUGGAAAAUGUUGAAACUUCGUUACUUGGCCAACCCUAAUUUAAUUGGUCAAUUUUGGUCAACUCAGGAAAUCUAGCCAAACUAGGAAGAAUUUGAAUCCAUGAUUAUUAUGGUGUUUGGUCUGACCGAUUUAUUCUUCUAUUUAUCGUCAGACGUGGGAUUGGCUAGAGAAUGUGAAUAGUUUGAGGCAGCGCUCGAGGAGUAUUCCGAGCAUUGGAAGACUUAGGCCUAAUACGGUGAGUGGACUUUUGUUUUAAAUAAUAUGCAUGCAAAUGGUUUAUUGUUGAGCAAUUUCUUUUGUUGGAGCAUUUGACGUCAUUUUAUUUUGACGAUUUCUUUUAUUUUGGAGAGUUACCGAAAAUGAGAUUUUCGGUGGAUAUGUAUAUGGAUUCUUAUGAGUAUAGUAUAAAUGCUAGCUAGCCUUACGUGUUUGGUCCGUCAUAAUAAGGUAAAAUUCCAUUAUGGCGUGACGUAAGUGUUAGACACAAGCGUCAUAGCCCUAUAUGAAAACUAUUUUCAUAUCUAGUUCAUAUAGAUUUUCAUAUAGGGAGUCCACACGUAUAUACACCCGUCCUCUUCGGUCAUAAUGAGGAAAAAUUUCAUUAUGGCGCGACGUGAGCGUUAGACGCAAGCGUCGUAGCCUUGUAUGAAUUUCUAUUUUUCUAUUUUGUUCAUAGAAUUCGUACAAGGAGUCUGACGAGUGUAAAUACAUACAUAUAUGUAUAGUUUAACCUGAGAUUCUGUAUUUUAUUAAGUUUUGGAGACUAGCUCAUGUAUUUGCCAGUUUAUGAGUUGAAAGCUUUUGAGCUGUCGCAUGCAGCAUAUUUUAUAUGGAAAUUAAAUUGGGGAAGCAUAAAGAAAUAUUGUUAUUAAAUUUAUUUUUGUCCACUCACUCUAACGUGUUUUCAAAUGUUUUCCCAUGCGCCAUUUGUUUUAAAAAUGCUCAGUAUGCAGGUUAGCUUAGUUGAGGUCGGGCGUACAUGAAGAAGAGACAUAGUCAAUAGUAUAGUUUCUGCUCAUUUCUAUAUUUCUAGUUCUUUUCUUCUCCAUUAGAGCUGUUCUGAACUGUGAUUGUUGGUUAUGGGAUUAUUCUUAUUAAGUUAGUAAAUAAAUUGGGAGAUGUUGUGAUUUGGGGAGCACGAAGGCUCCAGGAGUAGAGGGUUAUAGAUGGAUUUUUUCGAAGUGUUUGCAGGUAUUUCUAGGAAGGGUUGUCCAUUUUCAAGAGAGAUUAUGUCGAAUUUUCGGUAAAUUUUCCUUGGAGGUGGUCCCCGCAGGAUUUACUUCGGGUUUCAGGGUGAAAUUCGAGGUGGGUCCUGACACCAAGUGAGGAUUUUUAAAAAUGUUUAGGUGAUGUGAUAAUGAAAUUGGAAAAUAUCAAAUAACAAUUAAAACAUUCAUCUAACCAUUCAUUCAAAAGUCUACAUAUAAUUCUCGUUAUAAGUAGGAUGGCAAUGGGUAGGGUAGGAUACGGGGAUCAAAAUACCGUAUCCAUACCCUUUUACAUUUCUCAUCCCCGUACCCGUAAUUAGAUAAUGGGGAUUUCCCGUACCCGUACCCUUUGGGGAUUACGUUUCCAUACCCGUACCCGUACCCGUUAACAAUUAUGUAUUAAAUUAAAUUUUUUUUUAAAUACGAAAUACAUUAUAUAAAAGUAUGAAAUUAAAAUCAAAUACCAAAAUAAAUAAGUUUCAUGCUUCAAUCCAAUAAAAAUAAAUACAAGUUUUGGUUAAAACAGAACAAUACCGAUAAAUUUCAUUAAGAAAAUAAAAAUAUAUAAUAAAAAGGAAGGUCCGUUUAUUAAGAGAAUCACAAAUUUUUUUACAUAAAUAUUUAUUUAUAAAUUAUAUAUAAAUAUAUAUAAUAAAUUAUAUAAUUAUAUAUAAUAAUAUUUUCAUCCUUAAUAGGUGGGGAUAGGGACGAAUAUCAAAAUAUCAUACCCGCCCCGUACCCGAUUUAAGAAUCCGAAUACUGGGGAUCCCCAUCUCCAUUACCCAUUUAUAACCGUAUAUCUUCCUCGUUAGAGUCGAAUACCCGUGGGUACCCUACCCGCUAGGGAUUAUUGCCAUCCUUAGUUAUAAGGUUCUCAUUAGAAGUUUUCCCACUAAUGAAAUCGAAAAUUAGAAAGUCGCAACCUAGCUAUCUAUCAUGACGAAAACUAACAAAACCCGAUGAAGUAUCACACCAAGGAACUCUAGAUCUAACGUAUAUCUGUCUUUUGUGAUCCAAAAAACACGCGUACGACAUAUUACAUUGACUUACAACAUUUGGUGUACGGUAAUACCGUAUACCGUAUACCAUUUCCUAAACAUUUUCUCAAAAGUUAUACCAAGCACAACACCCAUAUAGGCAUAUUUAAGAAGUCCAAAAAGAAAUAAAGUUCAUUUUUCUCGGUCUUCACUAUCCGAUUUAAGUUUGUUUAACCCUAUACAGUCCAUUAUUUCAAGGAUCAAAACAAUUGAUAAUCGGAUUCGAUGCUAAUGAUCGACUUGGCUUUAAGGUGAUGGAAACCACUUCCAAUGGCCAGAAAAGACUUGAUUGGAGACUCCAAAAUAUAUAACUAGCUAGAUUCCGUAUUUCAUACCAAAUAGGAUCUCAAAUUAUAUAAAGUGAGAAAGCAAACUCAAACUAUCAAAAUGUUGUCGAAAUAUAUGGAUGGAGUUCUUGCAAAUUCUAUAUAUUUGAACCAAAGGAGAGUACGUACGUAGUACCUAUAGCUAUCUAAGGUUAGUCAGUUACUCAAUUUUAUUAGACUUCAUCAAUCGCUUUUCGUCUUUCACUCUAUAUAUGCCAUUUUGAAGUAGGUAUAACCAAGGAAAGGAAGUAGAAGAAGAAGGAAAUUUCAUUAUAAGCCAUACGAUUACAAGUGCAUAUAUAGUACGUAGUAGCUAGUUAUUGUCUUAGUGCGUUAGACCUCUCGUACUACAAGAGAGCCAUACAGGACUACCUUUAUUCAUUCUCUACCCCUUAAGCUAGCUUAGUGCCAAAACACUACGUGCCGCAUCAUAUUUUUACAUUUCGAUCAUCACAAUGAUUUAAGCAAUAGCCCAUCAGCUCUUCUGGGGCAUGGCAGCCGACCUUGAGGAGCUCAAGGCAACGAUCUCCUGCCUGUUGUACUUGAGGUUCCUAGCCUGCUGACGGUCCAUCUGGUAAGCGUUGGCGAGGACCACGUCGGGGAGUGAUCGCAGGACGGAGGUCCUACCAGCCAUGGUGUUGAUCAUGGCAUUGUCUUGGGUCUUAAAGGCAAUGUACUCGUAUCCAUUGCUCAUGGCCUUUUGCAACACGGCGUGGUUUUGCGGCACGAUGAAGAGCUGUCCCUGGCGGACCUGGUCGUCCAAGAUGCAGUCGCCAUUGUCGUUCACCACCUGAACCCUAGCGCUGCCCCUGAUGACGUAGUAUACUUCAUGGGCGUUCAAGUUCCAGUGUGGGCUGUAGAUAGCGUUCUGCAUUUACAACGUAUCAAUCACUUUUAAUUACUUAAGCUCAAACAAUUAAUUGGUAACUAAUUAAAAUGAACUAAUAAAUGCAUGGAAAAGAAUACUGACGUUGUAGAAGAAGCCUCUCUCAGCGCUGAGACGGAGGCGCCUGAGAAUAGGCAUGGUGAAGGCGUUGAGGGUGCUGAUGCGACCGGCUUGCGGGCUGAAGACGUCGGCCAUUGUAGGCCUUCCGAUGUUUUGUCUCAUCUUCAUGUGGCAGAAGAGCUCCUCCAUGCCGUUCUCUUCAUAUUGUCCUUGUUGUCCCUGCAUUUGUGUUCCUUGGAUUUGCCUUUCCUCCCUCAUUGACUCUGGGGGCUGGAUGAAGUCGAGGCGUCCCUGUACCCUAACAAUCUGUGGCCUGUUGUCGUUCAUUCCCUGGAGCUGCUGGGCGGUCUGUUGGUCGAUGUUAAGAGCGUCGGCGAGGAGCUGUGUGUCGAAGCCGGAGAAGACGUUGUUGUAGUUCCCCUGCAUUUGGUGCCUGCUCUUUCCUUGUUGUCUCCGGAUCCGUGGGCUUUGGCCUUGUUGGGUGAACUCAUCUUGUGGGUUACCAGCAAGGUAGAAUCUCUAUAUAUAAAGAGAGAUUAAGCAGCAACAAGUCAGUGAACAUUACCCUAAACUAUUUUUGGUACAUGCAAGAAUAUAUACUGAAUGAAAUGUGGUAAGAAAUUGUACCCUUGGGAUUCGGUCCAGCUGGUUGUGCUGGUUGCUCAUGUCAAGAAGACUGACGAAAACAAGAGGUUCGUUAGCGUCGUUGUAACUCCAGCAGGUGACACCAGCAGGAAUGGCGAUAACAUCACCUUCCCUGACGCGUCGGACCUUCUGGUGACGGUCGAGCUGAUCAUAGCUCUCUUGCUGGCCUUGCUGGCCCAUUUGUCCCUCUCGGCGUAUAAUCUGUUGCCGGCGGCCUUGUUGGCCUUGAGAUUGUCGUUGCUCUUCAACAGAUUGUUCGGUUUCUUCGAAAGUCUCGGGACAGCCGGGGAGAACCAUUCCUAGAUGACCCAUACCUGCAAUACUCAUAGCAAUAAGUUAACAGUCCAUCGACAAACGCUAGCUAGCUACAUGCAAUUUCGGUAUAACUAAUGAAGUGAUAUGAUAUUACCUCGGACGACGUAAACGAGUCGUGGAGUGUUAACGUAAGAAGGCAGGUGGAGGCCGUUGUUCUCAAUGGUGAUCUUCUGAACGGCGACGCCAGCGCACUGGAAGUCAUCCUGGUUGUAGUCCCAGGACUCGAUCCGACCUGCUUCAGUCUCAAUGCGGUUGUCGGGCUCGCGGGCUUGGAUCCGGUUCAGCAUGCACUCAUUUUGCUGGCUGAACUGAGUUUGUCGCCGACUGGCUAAGCAGCCGUGGAAGAGAACAAGUAAGCAAAGAGAGAAAGCGAGAGCUAAGUGCUUGGCCAUUGUGAUGAUCAAUGGCAGAUAGCUAGUUGUGGGUUGUGAUGAUGAAGUGGAGAGUAGAGCGUUGGUAUUUAUAGGAGAUGAGAGGAGGUGAGGGUGAGAAUAGUGCAAAUGAUGUGUAAGGAAUCUCAUGCCAUUCUUCUCUUUGCAUGGCUAUUAGUAUUUCACAUUCUUACACCUCAUUUCUCUUCCAGGGCAGGUGGCUCUUGGCUUCAGAGAAGGUUUAAAGUUAUAAGAACAAGGUGGCAACCAGGUGGGGUGGCCAUGAUUGUUUGCAAGUGAAGCAAAUUUCACCUCCCCGAACCUCGUGCAAUGCAUGAACUCGAAUAAUUAACUCAUGAAUCAGAUCUGAAACUGUUUCAUGUUCGUGAAGAAAUAUUACAUCAGUACCAUCCCGAACUAUCUAUAAUUUACGGAGGUGAAACAUAAGAUGAUAAGAACUUUAUCAUCUUCCAAAUAGUAAUAUCCAUAUUCCUUUACUCCCUUUGUAUGUAAUUCAAAUGUAGUAUUUAAGACUUUUUGAACAUUUUUCAAGAAUGAUCUCUGGACUCGGCGCGCUCUUAUGUAUAAGAGUUCCUUUACCUGCUAAUAAAUCUAAAUAACUUAUAUAUAUAUAUAAACGGAUUUUCUCAGCUGCGGACGUCCGCACCAAUUUUUUGGUGCGGAUUUCUAUUUUUUCAUCACUUUUCGAUCGAAUUUCCUCAUCUCCACCGUCUAGUAUCUAGAUAAUAUUGUGUAGAUCAUCUCUGCAANNNNNNNNNNNNNNNNNNNNNNNNNNNNNNNNNNNNNNNNNNNNNNNNNNNNNNNNNNNNNNNNNNNNNNNNNNNNNNNNNNNNNNNNNNNNNNNNNNNNNNNNNNNNNNNNNNNNNNNNNNNNNNNNNNNNNNNNNNNNNNNNNNNNNNNNNNNNNNNNNNNNNNNNNNNNNNNNNNNNNNNNNNNNNNNNNNNNNNNNNNNNNNNNNNNNNNNNNNNNNNNNNNNNNNNNNNNNNNNNNNNNNNNNNNNNNNNNNNNNNNNNNNNNNNNNNNNNNNNNNNNNNNNNNNNNNNNNNNNNNNNNNNNNNNNNNNNNNNNNNNNNNNNNNNNNNNNNNNNNNNNNNNNNNNNNNNNNNNNNNNNNNNNNNNNNNNNNNNNNNNNNNNNNNNNNNNNNNNNNNNNNNNNNNNNNNNNNNNNNNNNNNNNNNNNNNNNNNNNNNNNNNNNNNNNNNNNNNNNNNNNNNNNNNNNNNNNNNNNNNNNNNNNNNNNNNNNNNNNNNNNNNNNNNNNNNNNNNNNNNNNNNNNNNNNNNNNNNNNNNNNNNNNNNNNNNNNNNNNNNNNNNNNNNNNNNNNNNNNNNNNNNNNNNNNNNNNNNNNNNNNNNNNNNNNNNNNNNNNNNNNNNNNNNNNNNNNNNNNNNNNNNNNNNNNNNNNNNNNNNNNNNNNNNNNNNNNNNNNNNNNNNNNNNNNNNNNNNNNNNNNNNNNNNNNNNNNNNNNNNNNNNNNNNNNNNNNNNNNNNNNNNNNNNNNNNNUAUAUAUAUAUAUAUAUAUAUAUAUAUAUAUAUAUAUAUAUAUAGGUUUCAACCGCAAGAGGUUAGUUCAGCACUAGUAAAUAUAUAAUUACAUGGCACAUGGAAGUGAUGGAACAAAGAAGUGAUACGCAAAUCAUCAAACUAUCACAUACGGCCUGAAACUUUGUGCUAAUACGUACAUAUGCCCUUCAAAUAUCCCUUAAACUUGUCAUAUUGUCAUAUAUAUUGACAUGCAUUUCAUUUGCAUCAAUGCAGAAUCAAACCCUUCGUAUAAAAUAAAAAUAAAAAUGCAGAAUCAAACCCUGACGUUAAUACAAGGAUAUUAGUUCCUAUGUCACUAACCGAUCGAUUUGGUGCAUCAAGUGCUCACCCAUGUACAAUCCCAAACAUAUGAUUCAUAUGAUAUGAAAUAGGCCAUCACAACCGAGAACUCACCGCCCCUCCUCUAUUUAACCCUGAGCUUAGAUAUCAAUCAUAUGAAACGCAUUCAUUUCCACAAGUGAAUUAAAAACCUCUGAAGGCUUAAUUAGCCGUUUAGGGUUCAUAUAUGGAUCUCUCAGUAAUUUGAAUUUGGCCACUUAUUCGAUCUUGUCAAACGAAGGACGCAAGGCAAUCUUUAGCUACUAGUUGUCCUUAGCGAUGAUCAUUAAGCACGUACGUACAGUUUCUAUAAUAAACUUUCUUAUUUCUUUCUAUUACAAUGGUUUGAAGCUUUUCUGUGCUAAUUGAUUCGUAAAGCUCGAGAGUACGUAGCUAUAUAUAUCCCAAUCAUUAAGGACCCUAUUAAUCAAAGUGAACAAUUAGCUUCAGGAUAACUGAGUAGGAAUAAUGGAGUAGCACCGGGAAAUAAGUCGGAAAAUACGUUCGUCCGGACUAAGUACGUAUGUGUGCGUCCGGACUCUCUUUUAUUUACUUUCUUUUGUCAAUGCAAAUCAUAAUCUUAACCGUUCAAAAGUUGAAUUAACCUAUAUAGAUCAUCUCUACAAAAUUUCAAUGUAAACAAACAUCGUUUUCUUAGUCGAUUACAUUAAACAAAUUGACAGUUCUAGUGAAAGUUAACAGUCUCAUGAUCAGUCGUCCAUUUGUUUGAUACAUUCGGCUUAGAAAACAAUGUUUGUUUACAUUGAAAUUUUGCAGAGGUGAUCUCCAUAUAUAGGUACGUAAAUAAGAAAGAGUUCAGACGCACACGUACAAACUAGUCCGAACGCAAAUAUUUUCCAAAUAAACUAGUCCGAACGCAAGUAUUUUCCAAAUAAGUUAAAUGACAAAAGCCAAAGUUUACAAGUACAUAAGAUUAGACCGAGUGUAAUGAUAAAAUGCGUGCACCAAAUCGGAAAUUGAGACUGAGAAUAAGAUUAAACACUCUGUAGUGUGUACUUACGUAGAGUUUAUCUAUCAAACUUGUUGUCGAAUUUGCUUUGAGGCAAAACCACCUAGCUACUUCAAAUUGGCGUGUAAGAUGAUGCUUAUAGUUGUGGACUUGUGGGUAAUGAGUUGAGAUUAAGUUAGAGUGACUGCGAGAGCGGUAUGUUGGAGUCUUCAAAAUAUAACCCAUUUUACAUUUCUCCUAUUCUAUGAUUAUUCUUUUUUCUUAUCCUAUGUUCUAUAAGUAGAUAACACAAUUGUCAAUUCUUUUAUUUUUCUUCUCUGUUCUAAAAAAACAAAAGAAUGUCUAAAUGUUGAAUCAACCAUAUAACAAAUUAAGCAAUACACUAAAAGAAGCUGCAGCUACCAGCUUGCUUUGGUCAAUUUGUUAUAUACUAAAGAUAUACCAAUUAUUCAUCAACGUCGACUCGGGUCAACGUACCACAUAGAUAUGCAAUAUGAAAGGGAAGAGUAUAUCAUCAAGGCAAACCAAAAAAGUGAAAACUUCAUUAGAAAGCAUAACGUUACAAGUACGUACAUAUACGUAGCAGCUAGUACUAUAACUUAGUACAUUGGAUCUCCCAUACUACAAAAGAGCCAUACAAGGCACUUUUAUUCCCUCGAACUGACGAACUCUACCCCUUAGCUAGCUUGAUGCUAAAACACUACAUGCCGCAUCACAUUUUUACAUACAUAUAUUGAUAUAUUUAAGCACUAGCCCUCUCGGACUGGAAAGAUCUUGAGGAGCUCAAGGCAACAGUCUCCUGCCUGUUGUACUUGAGGUUCCUUGCCUGCUGACGGUCCAUCUGGUAAGCAUUGGCGAGGACCACGUCGGGGAGUGCCCGGAGGACGGAGGUCCUGCCAGCCAAGGUGUUGAUUAUGGCAUUGUCUUGUGUCUUGAAGGCAAUGUACUCGUAUCCAUUGCUCAUGGCCUUUUGCAGCACGGCGUGGUUCUGCGGCACGAUGAAGAGCUGUCCCUGGCGGACCUGGUCGUCCAAGAUGGUCUCACCGUUGUCGUUCACCACCUGAACCCUAGCGCUGCCCCUGAUGACGUAGUACACUUCAUGGGCGUUCAAGUUCCAGUGUGGGCUGUAGAUAGCGUUCUGCAUGUACCACAUAAUAACCAUAAUUAAAACUGCUAAAUUAAACUCCACCAUAACUUGAUUAGACUUAGUUGAUAGACAAAUCAAUAUGCAUGCAUAUAUACUCACGUUGUAGAAGAAGCCUCUCUCAGCGCUGAGACGGAGGUGCCUGAGAACGGGCAUGCUAAGGCCAUUGAGGACGCUGAUGCGACCGGCUUGUGGGCUGAAGACGUCAGCCAUUGAAGGCUUGCCGAUGUUCUGCUUCAUCUUCAUGUGGCAGAAUACCUCCUCAAAACCAUUCUGUCCUUGUCGUCCUUGUUGUUGUCUUUCCUCCCUCAUUGACUCUGGGGGCUGGACGAAGUCGAGGCGUCCCUGAACCCUAACGAUCUGUGGCCUGUUGUCGUUCUGUCCCUGGAGCUGUUGGGCGGUCUGUUGGUCGAUGUUGAGAGCAUCGGCAAGGAGUCUGGUGUCGAAGCCGGCAAAGACGUUGUUGUUGUUGUUUCCCUGUUGUUGGUGUCUGAUCUUUCCCUGUUGUCUCGCGAUCGAAUGUCGGCUUUGGCCUUGUUGGGUGAACUCAUCUUGUGGGUUACCAGCAAGAUAGAAUCGCUGCUCAUACAGAUCAAGCAGCCAUUGAGUUAAACGAUUUUGUAACAUUGUAUCCAUAUAUAUAAUCAGGUGUCAGUAAGAAAAUCCAUAUAUAAUUAUAUAUUAUCAAAACGUUGAUAAGAAAAGGUACCCUUGGGAUUUGGUCAAGUUGGUUGUGAAGGUUGCUGGUGUCUUGAAGACAGACGAAAACAAGAGAUUGGUCACCGUCGUUGUAGGACCAGGUUGUGACUCCGGCGGGGACGGCGAUAACGUCACCUUCCUUGACGGGUCGCACUUUCUGGUGUCGGUCUAGCUGUUCGAAGCUCUCUUGUUGUCCCUGUUGGCCUUGUCGGCGUCCAAUUUGCUGGCGACCUUGUUGCCCUUGCCCUUGCUGUUGCGAGCCCUGUAGUUGUUCCUCGUAAGAUUGCUCGGUUUCUUCGAAAGUCUCGGGACAUCCGGGGAUCACCAUUCCUAGUUGACCCCUACCUGAAAUAGAUCACGUAUAAAAGACAGUAAGUUAACCUUGCUCAAGCACAACAUGCAAUUUAGUCAUAAGUUGAUCAGAAAAAGCGACGUUUAGAUAUUACCUUGGACAACGUAAAGGAGGCGAGGACUGUUGGUGUAAAAAGGCAAGUGAAGGCCGUUGCGCUCGACGGUGAUUCUCUGAACGGCGACUCCGGCGCACUGGAAGUCAUCCUGGUUGUAGUCCCAUGACUCGAUCCGACCCGCCUCGGUCUCAAUGCGGUUGUCGGGCUCGCGGGCUUGGAUCUGGUUCAGCAUGCACUCAUUUUGCUGGCUGGACGGAGAUUGUUGGCGAUAGGCUGAGCAGCCAUGAAAGAGAACAAGCAAGCAGAGAGAGAGAGCUAAAGACCUGGCCAUUUUGUAGAGUGGAUACUAGCUAUAGCUACUUGGGUGAGGAAGAGAGUGGAGAGGGGUUGGGAUUUAUAGGGUAGCGAAAGAGGUAAGGGAGGGACACGUACGUUGAGGAAGGGGUUGCAUGUGUAUAAGGCAUCUUCAGCCAUCUUUCUGUUUGCAUGGUGUGAAGGUUUGAAGGGUUUACACCUCAUUUCUGUGGUCUGAGGCAGGUGGCUUUGGUGAAGAAGAAGAUACAAAGUGCAUGGGAUAUAUGUGGCGAGAGGAUGGAGUCUCCAGUAUUGUCCGGAUGCAAACUGAAACUGCUUUUGAAGUUUACUGCCUUAAUUUUGGUAAAUAUGGAGAAAAAUACAUACAGUUUGUGAAAAGUAAAAUAAAUAAAGGAACUCCAUCAACUCAUCUGAACAUUGGGAAUUUGGGAUAAAUAACUAGUUAUCUCGAUCUGAUCUCAGAUAUGCAUGGCCUAAACUUACAUCCUACACUACCAUAGCUGCAAUGUAUAUUAAUACACAUGAAUCUAACCAAGCUCCUUAUAACUAGAAAAUAGAAUUGUUCUUUUUUUUCUUCUUUAAUUUGUAUCUUGGGUAUCAGUACUUUAACUGAUAUAUAACAACUGGAAAACUGUACAACAGCGUCUUGUACGGAAGUGCAAUGUAGGACGUAUUUUAUAUAGGAAAAUUCAAGGUAUUGGACUGUUUGCUAUACAAUGUAUUUUUAAAUAUUUUCGAUCAUCGGUUCUUGAAUUUUAAGAAAUAUGGUAACCGGUUUGGGGUUGUCUACGUAUAGAGAUGUGUAUAUUAUACUCAUUUUACAACUAAUUAAACCAAACUUAUAAUUUAAUGAAAAUAAAUAUACGACGAUGACAACAAACCUACCAGUUGAUUAUGUCAACUCAUUUGAAAUUACUAAUGAAGACACAUAAGCGUAAAAAAUAAUAAUAAUCCUCUUUUUCUUUCAUUACAGUAGUCUUCAUCUAGAAGAAAAAAUUCUUUUCCAACAUAAACACUAACAGAUACGUCGAACUCCAUGGAAGAUAGUGACAUUGUUUUGGAGUAUAUGCACAAUGUAUGAGUUUCUUGUUUUUUUUUUUUUUUUUUUUUGUUUCUUUUUUUGUAUGAAUUCACAAAUGUAUUAUUGUAAUUGUUUCAAUAAGAAGGAAACUUGUUGUCGACUAAGCAGAGUUUGCCCGUCCUAUUACUACAAAGAUUUUGAAGUUGUUUUUUUCUUUGUGUAUACUAAACACUCGUAAAUUUUCUUUAUUCAAAAGAAAAGUGUAUACUGACAAUCUCUUCUCCCUAAUAGAAAUAGCUUUAUGAUAUAGCGGCAAAAGACAAAUCUUGAGUUUUGGAUUUCGUUAUAAGAACUUGAUAAUUUUAUAAGAAAGUAAAUUAAUGGGUUGUUAUAUAUAGAGCUUGAGUAUAUAUACAUGGACUCUUUUUGAUAAUUUUAAGAGAAUGUUCUAGGAUAUUCUGUAUCUUUCUAGAUAUUCUUUAUGUGUGCAUUGGCCUUAUGCCAAUAGGAUAUGUAGUUAGACUAAUUCUAUGUAUUCAUAUCCUUACCAUAUUGGUAUUGUGUAAUUCCCUAUAUAAAGGGCUCAUAUCAAUGAAUAAGAUGAUGAUUCUCUUGCUAUCUCUUUCUCUACACUUUAUAUUUCAUCACGUUAUCAUGCACUUUGUUAUAACCCUAGAGCCAAUAGCCCACCAUUUGUUUUCCAAACCCUAAAAUCUGACAGCCUUGUUUUUCCUGAUUUCCGACCAAAAUUCCGACUGCCCUCUGCCGGAGUUUUAUAUCCCCAGAAAGCUCUCUCCGUCCUGGAUCCAACGCCGCCGGCCUCACCCUGAGAACCGGCCGGAAAGUCUUCGAACCGGCCGCUAGAAGAUUCCAGACCGCCGCCGCUACCGACCACCGGUUCACCACCUUCCCUUGCUCCGAUCAACCUGAAAUUUUGACAGCAGCUUCCCCAUCCAGAGCUGCUCAUUCUGUCAAAUUUUCAGCCCCAAAUUCGAAGUAUAAGUAGGCGAAACGUUAUUUCUCCUCUCGGCAGCCUCUAGAAACCAAAGAUUUCAAGAUUGGUCGUCUUCCAAGGAAACCAGAAAGGUAUGUUUUGAAACCUUAAACUUUUCCAAGUUCAAUAACUCGGGGAGGAUAAAAUCUUUUCCGCCCUUCUCUAUCUCCAUUCUAUGCUUGGGAUUUUGUGUGUGCAGGUACCAAAAAUCCCGGAAUUUUAUUCGCGGGUCAAGAGUGUAUUUGAUCACUCUUGCUUCCUUGUCCAGGUUGUGUAUGAUCAACCCCAACCUUUCUCCGGAUUGUGUUUGAUCAAUCCGAGGCCUUUUCCGAAUUGUGUUUGAUCAAUUCGCGACUUUUUCCGGAUUGUGUAUGAUCAAUCCGAAGGACAAACCAUUAAAAGCAUUGUUUGUGACCUCUAUCGAGUCUCAUAACAGCUUGGUUUUGUAUGCAAGAGCAACGUAACAUUCUGCUCAUUGAGUUUUGACGUACUCGAUACCUAAGACGAAUCUUCGCUUGGUAUCUGUGGAACAUUUCACUGGAAAGGAUUAAACAACAUAUUUUGACCCCCAGGCUAACAAGCCUAGAUGCCGAGAUUUCACAUCUCAUGCGCUCAAAGUCUUUGACGCGCCACAUCGACAAGCCUUCAAUGGCAAUCUGUGUAAAAAGUAAUGACCACAAAGUACUAUGGAAUGCACUCAUGGAGCGUUUCUUGAAACGUCCAUAUAACUCUACUUGUUGAGUUAUUAGUCAAGUGGAUUACUUACCGCCUUAAUUGACUACAUAUUGUCGAUGAUCAUUUGUGGCAUCAUGAUCCAUAACCUUUAGCGGAUUCGAUCAUCAUCAAGUUCUCUAGGUCCUCCAAGUUGGUUUGGAAUUACCAACGAGACUUGAUUUUGAUCAUACAAACGGGAAUUGUAUAUAUACGCUAAUGUGAUAAAUUUAUUUAGGAUUAUCCCCUAAAUGUGGGAACAACAAUAUGGGUCAUGACAACGGCAGAAAACGUCGUGCCGAUGUCUAGAAAAGAGGGGGAGGUGUCACCGGCUCUAAUAGCAACACUCCCGGUCUAGACACCAUUUUGUCAAAACUACUCACGUCAGCUCAUGACAACGCAACCAUUGUGGAUCUUCGGAUCACUGGUUCAAGAUUGUCAAGCUCCUUCAAAUUGUGAAUGCAUACAAAAAGGUAUAGAAAAUCAAUAUGAGGACAAGAACAUCAUCCUCAUGAUCGCGAAUUUCAAAGAUUCGGAUCCUGCUCUAGCUACCCAUGACUUUGACGUCAUCGACUAGACAUUGAUUUUCGUUCCAAGCUAUAUGUACUAAGGCGUUGAGACCUUGAUGUACUCACAUUAGCAAUAACGAAUGCCUUGAGAAUUUUUUCGAAGUUAUAAAACUAUUCUCCUCUUAUGGUUCGUAUUGAUUUACAAACAAGAUUUACAUUUUUACAUCGUCCUUAGAAGCAUGGCAUAUUUACAAUCUACAUGGUUAGAUUGUGCAGUUUUGGUCUCUUCCAAGUGGAGAUGACGCACGCCCUUGCAUCCUUAAGUAGGAUCGCUAACGUGUUUCCGGUUAAGUCUUCUACCCUAUAGCAGAUUUUUCAUCAUCAAUUGUUCAACUAGGCUCAUCCAAGCUCAGUGUGAUGUCUUAGAAUUGCCCGAAAUUAAGGAGAUAGUGGUUUCAAGUGUGCCUCGCACUACCGACCCUCCACGGACAUGCCUGGUCAUACUGACUUGGAGUUACCGAAAGCUUUUGAUUUUGGAUCCCCCUACGCUAUUAAACCAAUUGCCGUCUUGCAAAAGAUGUUGAAGACUUAUCAAAAACCGGAAAAUUAUCAUCAUGAUCUAAUCCUCUAGGUCCUCUGAGUUAGUUUAUGUUCAUGUCAGGGAGAUUUUGCUAACUAGUCAUGGAGUUUACGACCUUAGAAUGACCGAAAGGACUUUGUUUUGAUCAUACACACGUCACUUGUGGCUAAGGCAAAAUCCUACACGCCACUUGCAAGCUUCACAGCUUCGCACAUGCCAAUUCUGCGAAAAACAGCAAUCUGUCCCUUCUGGACAGUCAACUUCGUUUGCGUUUUGUGAACAGCUCCGGACGAACCAGACAAUAAGCUUUAUAUCAUUGGAAAGCUCUAUGAGUCUAGUUUUCAGAACUUUUCGCGGUUCAUCUAUAUCUAUUUUAACAAGGAAGUUAUGGCUGUUUUAGUGCGCAAAAGUCAUUCUGCGCGGAAAUUUUUAUGCACUCUCGGGAUUGCAGCUUUUCGUAGCUUCUUUCAAUCCUUCUAAAUAGUUCAAGUGGAACUAUUAACUAGCCUAUCUACUCCUUCUUGUAGAUAUGUCUCAUCGAGACAUUGAGUGCUUCGCAGAUAGUGGAACUAUCCAUAACAUUCUAAGGAACCGGCAACUAUCUUUGGAUUUUGUGUCUUUGUAAAUCUUCUGUGACUACAAUGAUUGAAUCAUACCGGUCAUUCAAGGACGCGGUUUAGCUUAAAUCUUGAUGCCUCAUGGAACCAUGAUCAAUGUCACAGAUACCCUCUAUGCAUUGAGAGGCAAUCGAACCAUAUUGAGCUCUAAAGACAUUCCUGCUAAUAGUUUUCAUUUGAAAACACAUUGUGAGAAUGAACAAGAAUUCUUUUGUGUAUACCUUCUCAUGAAUGCGGACUGAAGUGCAUCUUGGAGAAAUUCAUGAGUCAAUCUAGUGGACUGUAUGUCACUAUGAUUCGAAUAUGAUUCGAAUAUCGAAUCUCAUGUUGUCACCAAACAUGAUAUUUGGGACACUGACUCAUAUAGGCUUUGGUUUUAACCAAUUAAGGUCAUCCUAGAAGAGAUAUAAUGGUCCAAAUUUUGAGAAAUUCUCAUGGACAUCCAUUCUUCCGCUCAAAACAAAGACAUUCGAGAUCUAGCAUCACCAUGAAGCAUGGUGGUGACCCGGGGGACAUUGACGUCACCCGAACAAGGCUCCAACUUCCCGGAGGCCGUCCGGUCAAUUCCUCAAGCAACUGAGGUGCACCAGCCUUUCCUCGAUGUCGCAUUGGCCCCCUGCAAUGCUUAUUACUCGUUUUGAAAGCCUAUUAUUUAGCUAAAUUAGGAGUGAGACCCUCCUACGCUAAAUAACACAAAAGUGAACAUUCUAUUCUUACAUAAAAUUAUGUAGAUAGAUACAACCAACUUGCGAACAUCUUUUAUGUUUUAUGGUGUUGGUUGAAGUGUUAACACACUGGUCAUGUGUUACACUAUUAUCUACUGCUUAUGUUGCUUAUACUUCUACGGGCUCACUACCCAUUCUUUAAAGAAGUUUAUCGGGAUGUAAGUUGAAGUGUCCUGUACCCCAUGUUCACACGCAAUACGGUCUCACCGAGGCUACGACUAAGCAACUUUAGCUUGUCGCUCGAACAUUAUUGAUGCGCACCAAUCUUUCUAUUGCGUCUUGGGGCUAUACAAUAUUUGCAUGCAGCUUUACUAUUCAUCUACAACUCACCAUCAUUGAAUAUUUUUGUACUACAGCUCGUGACUGUGUACCAGGAUUGCAAUCCUUGAGCUCAAACAAGAUUGAAACGGAUCUCCAAUCCUUGAGCUCAGCUAGAUAUUUAUUCUAGGUGUCAAAUCGCACUGCCACUGAAGGACAAUGAUGGGUCAUUUGAGAUGAAUAAGUAUUUAGGUUGGAUAUGAAUCUCCACCUAUAAUCCGCAUAUGUAGAAACCUUGUCAGACGAUCUCUUUCACCGCUAUAUUGCGGAUUGUCACUUUGAUGAGACAAUAUUCUCGCCGUUAGGGGGAGAUAAGAGCACAAGUGUUCAAGUGGAACGACGUGAAUUGUCGUGGUUUGUCCCCACUAAGUCUCAUCUUGAUCCCAAAUGCUUAAAGUGUUAAAGUGACGAGAUCACAUGCAGCAAAUAUGUCUGUAAGGAUUGAUGUCCUUUUCAAAGGACAUGGCGCGACCAAAAGGUGUUGGUCUUGACGCCAUCACCAUGGAUGGUGAUAUAGUGACGCCAUAUAGUGGCAAAAUUGGUGUCACAAAGCCGUGUGGCUCCCUAAAAGGAAGGAGACCUUUAGGUUCGAUACUUUCUCGCACUAGAAAGAAAACGAGCUUGGCACAACCUGAUCCAUUGAUCAGUGAUACUCAAAUCCGUCUCAUGAAGUCUGAAUUGUGAUUAUCGUUGGGGGACGCCUCAACGUCAAAUCCAAUCCAUAUAGAGAUCUCUACACGUAUUACACUAGUGUACAUGAGGACGUGGGAUAAUGAGUCUACUAUCGAACCACCCUUCGUUGAUGGAUAUCAACUUAGUUGAUUGGCCUAAUGGAAAGAUGUGAUCCAGCAUAACAAAGAGAUAGGUCCUUGGGCAGGUGAUGCCGACACCGCAAGCUAAACCCUAUCAACUAUGCCUUUGUUAGAUAACGUAGUGAGAACAAGAGCUUAGACUCACCUUAUGACGCAAGGUAUCUCACUAACACGCACUGAGAUCGACUACGAUAAGAUAUGCUUUCGUAAUGGAUGUCAUUGAACUCCACUACUUUGUCAGUUUGGUAGUUUCCGAAUAACUGAACAAGCAGCCUAUGAAUGUGAUCGUAAUAACAUCUCUACGGGAUCAGAGAUAUGCAUGAAGGUCUUGAACAGACUUCAUUCAUCCAAAUCAAGUGGCUCCAGACCACAGGAGCAUGUGUUUGCUAAAUGUAUUGAAACGCACAUGGACUCCACUUGAUUUGGAAGGGAUAUGGUGAAUUAUGCAUUUGCGUGUUCAUUCAAGAUUUACAUGGACUCUUGAUGGAUCAAGAGAUGCCAAUAUGUAUCAACAUCCGAAGAAAAAGAUCUUGGGAAGACACGGUCUCGAUAAGACACUCGAUGACUGUAUUGAUGAUGAUUUUUCAUCAAUCGGCUUAGGUGCUCUAACGAAAGUGAGGCCUACAUAUACUCCCAUGAUUAGUCAAAGUCUUUACUCUAAAGAGAGAUCCGUUGUUUUGUCUAAAGCAUGAUGACAAAUAUGUGUUAAGAGAUGGAGUUCCCAUCUAAGUACAAUUAGACGCAUCAAUGUACUCAACACAAUAUGAAAGACUUGACAUCUCAUUCGCUAUGAAAAGUUGUAAAGCUAAGUAUAGUUAUGCGCCCACGUAACGCCAAUGUAAUGGCAGUAACUCUUUUUUCAAUACUUAAUGGUAUGAAAGGUUGAGGCUAAUUCUAUCCCUACAUAAGAAAGACACAUCAAUAGCGAAAUCAAAAUCUGCCAAGUUUCGUAGGUCAACUUCCACGGGACCUACAAGAAAUCUCACUCACUAGAAAAUGGUGAAAUUGGUACCAUUGGAAAGUUCUAUGUGUCUACUUUCCAGGGACACCAACCAUUUGUUCAUACCUAUCAUAUUGAGUGAGUUAUGGCCGUUUUCAUAAAGUAUGACGAAUCUGUCCGAGAAUCUGAUUUUGGCAAAACAGUCAACUUCGACGGGACUUUGUGAAUAGCUCCUGAUGAAUCAGAACAUGUGUAAUAUACAGUUGGAAAGCUAAAUGAGUCUAGUUUCCAAAACCGUUUACGGUUCAUUCAUAUGUAUUUCCUAGAGGAAGUUACGACUGUUCUAGUAACUGAAGGUCAUGCUGCGCGGAAAUCUGAUUUCCUGCACAAACUUAUGUUUUGAGUUCACAAGCGGCCUUCUCCUCAAGAUCUAAGUGUAAAAGAUCAUUUGAGGACAAUACGGCAUGAUUUAGUUAAUCAUUGCCUAAUGCCACAUUUGAAGACAUGUUAAAGAGCAUUGACAUGCUAAGUUGUUGAAAUUUCCGUGAUUAGUAAAAAUCAGGAAUAGCCCUAUGAUUGAUGUAAAGAUCAGGGGGAGGUGCAAACUUCAGGGGGAGUCUAGCACAUACAUACAUGUCACUAUCAAAUGUGAAUGGUGCGUUGUACUCUUUUUCUCCUACGAUCAAGGUUCAGUUUUUCUCCCACAUGGUUUUUGUGACUUGACGAGGUUUUUAACGAGGCAACAGAUCAGCACCAUCGGCAUAUCAGAGCGGCACAAGGGGGAGUGUUCUAGGAUAUUCUGUAUCUUUCUAGAUAUUUUUUAUGUGUGCCUUGGCCUUAUGCCAAUAGGAUAUGUAGUUAGACUAGAUCUAUGUAUUCAUAUCCUUACCAUAUUGGUAUUGUGUAAUUCCCUAUAUAAAGGGCUCAUAUCAAUGAAUAAGAUGAUGAUUCUCUUGCUAUCUCUUUCUCUACACUUUAUACUUCAUCAGAGAAUAAUGUUUUUCUUGAUUUUAUUGGACUAUGGGCGUUCUGGGAAAAUUGAGGAGGUGUAUAUAACAUUUUAGUUAUUUGUAAAAGUAAAUUUGAGGUCCAUUAAACAAGAAGAUCCAACAGCCGUUUUUAGAGAUAUAAAUAGAACCUCCCAUGACGGAAUGAUAUUACAGUGAAGUUGAAAAAAAAAAAAAAAGUCACAAUGUGCUUGACCUAUAUAUAUAUAUAUAUAUAUAUAUAUAUAANNNNNNNNNNNNNNNNNNNNAAAAAAAGUAAAAACUAACAUAUGNUNUACUACUAUAUAUAUAUAUAUAUAUAUAUAUAUAUAAACCAUACUUUCUUGUAUCAUCUUCAAAAAUAAGGUUCAAAUUAACAGCUAAACAAAACAUCGAUUAUCGUACGUUAAUGUUUCCUUUAGUUAUAGACUACUAGCAGAAAUCCGUAAUAUAUAUAGCUCCACAAUAACUAGUAGUGAAGUAUCUACGUGCAUGCAGAGCUAUCUAUUUGUUCUGUACAUGGGAAUGGUGGGUUUGGCUUUAUACCGAUAAAGAACUCUCCUGUCCUUGAAAUUCCAGUUCUCAAAGGUCACGAAUAUCUUCCCUGGUUCACUAAAGUAGAAGGAGUUUCUCACACUCUCUCCUUGCAGUCUCUUCUUGUCUUGGAUUAGAAUGUUGUACGACCCUUCAUCAUCAGGAAGGAACUCUUCCUUGUACAACACGUCCCAUCCCACCACAGUUAGAUCCCACACCAUUGUCAAUCCACCCUAAUCAAAUGAAAACACCCCAAAAAAUGAAAAUUAUUAGUUAACAACAAGAUUCAACUCAUCAUUCGAUUAAACACGCGAUUAAUGACGAGAAUUAGUACCUCAACAACUGGAAUUUCAAUAUAGUUGAUUGUGUUUGCUUUGAUUAUGAGCUCAGAUACUUUGUCCUCUGGUGUGAACUCAUCAUCUUGCUCUCUUUUGAGGCCACCAUAUUGAACUGGGAGUUCUUCUGGUUCUAUGAACCUUUUUUUUCAUAAUCAUUUCCAUGCAAAGUAACUUGUGUAUUAGAGACACGGAUGAGAUACUAAUGUAAUUGGAUAGUUUCAAUUUUUUGAGUAGUAAUCUCACUCACUUGAGAAGGGUCUUUGUAACCUUUUGGGAUCUAGCAAAGAUGAACGUCUUCUUAGUUCUGUGACUUAGAAACCUUGAUCGGAGCACAUGAGACACAUAAUACCAAAGUGGAGCAUUGAUAACAAUCUGCCAGUGGAAAGCAAGAAAUUAACAUAUACCACAUUGUAAUUAGCAAGUGCAGAGUUUUGCUACUUACAUUCUUUUGAAUGAGCUCAGGAUAGUUGUCCUGUAACAAGAGCAGAGUUUUGCUACUAAGCGAACGAAGCUCCUUAAAAUCGGGGCCUGGGGAAUCCUUCAAAUCCGUAAUCUGAACCAUCGAAUCAACCCCUCUCUUGAAGUUGAGCUUCUUGAUUCCCUUUUCAAUGAAUUGAACUCUCCACCUCAAAAACUGUUGGCGUCUUGCUUCAGACCCGAAUGUUUUCUUGUACAAGUCUUUGUCCUUGAAAGGUCCAUACGAAGUGUAACACAAAGGGUGGCCAUCUUUGUCUCUACUAUUUAUGCACACCACGUCUUCAAGACCAGAGACUCCUAAAUCUUCUUCCAGAAUUUCAUCAGUCCUGAAUUCUUUUCGCCAUUUCAGGGUUCUUUUCAGCAUUUCAAAUGCGUCGCUGGUCUUGUAAUCCCGGGCUUUCAAGAAUUUGAGGAGCAAAACAUCAGUGCCUUGAUGGCCUUUGCUUGGCAACAAAGGCACACCCCAUAGGGUAAUCUCCUUGAGUUGUUCUUUCUGCCUCAAGCUUUCAUUUCGGCUAAUCCUUCUGCUGGGUUUUCCGAGAAUGUAAUUCCCCAUAAUUGCAUCUUCAACUCUGCACCGGAAUUCCAUCAAGGCUUUCCUCUUCUUCUUCUUCAUUGACGCAGAAGCAGCUUUGGUUUCCUCAUCAUCCUCUAUAGCUCUACGUUCAACAUCUUCUUCAUCACUAUCCGGACAUAAUUCCCGGGGGCUUUCCAAGAUGUAGUCAUUAGGCUGAUCAUAAUUUCCCAGAGGCGAGUCAAGCUCUUGCUCUCUGCCCUGGUAAUUAGCUUCAUUUUUCAUUUUGGGUCUCCUGAUCAUUCAUCUCCCAUUGUCAAAUAUAGAGGAGAUUGAAAUCCCCGGCAUUCAGAGUUUCCGGGGAAACUGAAUAUUGGUGGUGCUCGGAUUCAAUGAUGGGGAGUUGAGAACGACGAACACAAAAAGUUUACAUCUUUCCUUUCUCUAUUACCUCAAGCUCAAGAAAGGCCUGGCGCCAAAUUUAGGUUGGACAAUCGUAGUAACUAACGGUGAGAUUGGAACAGGCUUUUUUACAAGUGUUUUAAACUUUUAUCCCCAAUUCAUCGGGCUUGGCUGGCAUACAAUUAGUGGUUGUUGUAAAUAGAUUAGGUUCCAAAUGCAAGUCAAAUUUAGUAUUUGAGUUUCAACACUAAACCCUUAAUCCAACUCGUUGCCUAACAAUGUGCAAGAAUCACUGUCCAAGUCAAAAUUUUGCCUUGCUGGGAUAAGGGAUCUAAGAACAUCUCCAAAAAAGAGAUAGAAAAACACAAUUGUACAAAAGCAACACCAUGGAAACGGUGUUAUGUCGUAAAGGUGCAACAAGUUAUUCAAGUUAUUAGAUUUGCAAAGGUCACCAUCUGUCCUCAAAAAAGGUCACAAACUGAUCUCCACUGUCCUGGUAUGGGAGGCAUUGACAAUAGAAUGAGAAGAACGAAAGAAAAGGGGAACAACUUACAAGCUAAUACUAAACAGAUGGUUGCUGGAGAAAGAAAAGAGACAAUGGCUGAGAUUAAUCCUCUACAUUCUGGGAAGUUCGAUGCAUUAUCUUGUCCUCCUUGACUAAUUCACAACCUGUAGCAGUGAUUUUUACAUCCUAAUACAGCGAAACCUAACUGCUGAUUUCCAUGCCUAUGAAAAGAAUGUAACCUGAACGGCCGUUGAAAUCUUGUAAUCAUAUUUACAGUGAAAUGGGAUGUGAAAUGAUUGAUCUGUAUCUAUAUAACAAGUCAUUAUCCAACUGCAGACUGGGAGCUGCUGCAUUACUCCUCUCGAAAUCUAGUCAAGUCAAAUGACAUGGUUUUGGAACAACUGCAAUAACAGCAGCACAAUUAGCGCGUUAAGAAACUAUAAUAUAAAUCCUCAAGAUAUAACCAUGUGACGUGCUCAAAUUCUUGUCUGAUGCUCACCUCAUGUCAGCGUCCCUGAAAACCCCAACCAGAGCUUCAGCCUUGUCAUAGAAGCUAUCUUUUAGAGAUAUUACAAUACUCUGAAAACCAUUGCCUCCUUCCGUAUCCUGGUUAACCCUGGCUCCUUGGCAAGACUUUGAACGGAUGAAUCGAGCAACUUUUGCUACAUUUAAGUUAUCCAGUGCAGCAUCAACUUCAUCCAGUAUGAAGAAAGGCGAAGGCCUAUAGCUGAAGCAUUCAUGAAAACAAAUGUGGAAAAACAAUUAAUUACAGGCUCUUAUCUACAGUGUAAAAGAGUAGAAACCAAAAACUAGAACAAAACUUUCGUAGUGGAACAGCGUACAUAUUGGUGAAAGGAAGACCAAAAGCCAGAAACUCCACAAUCCCCACCCAAAAAUAUUCAUAACUAUUGAAGCAUGUGCUCUAUGUAUCUACUGCAAGGCCUACCCAGAAUCUUUUGUUCUUGGAUGUCUUUAAAGGUAAACACUAUAUAUGAUUAACAUAUACCUGUGUAUGGCAAACAGUAAUGCUAAUGCUGCAACAGUUUUCUCUCCGCCAGAUAAUUGUUCCAUAUCUCGAAAGCGCUUUGUUGGGGGCAUAGUAGUGUACUUGACGCCAUGUAGAUAUGGAUCAUCUUCAUUUUCUAAAUUCAAAUAUGCCGUCCCACCAAGUGGAUGUGUAUUGCUCUUCGUCAGUUGCUUGUAUAUCUUAUCAAUAUUACUAGAAAUAUGGUUGAAGGCAUCCAUAAACUUCUCAUACCUGCAUUGACCAAAUAAACCAUUACAAUCAAAUGUCAGGGAAAAAAUAGAAAUCAGUUGCGUAGUGGGCAUAUUUGUCACUUACGUGAUGAUUUCUUUCACUUUCUGUCGACAGUAAACAUUGACCAUUCCUAUUACUAGUUUCUAUCCAUAAAGUUUGUCUUACGAAACCCAAUAAUGUGCAAUCAUGUAUAGUCAACUACAUUAUGAUAAUUAGACAAUCCAGUAGCAGUGUAAAAGCAAUCAAUACCUGCUUUGCUUAACCGAGUUAAACAGAUCAGCCUUUUGCUUCUGUUCUUUUCUGGCCACUUCAAACUCUGCAGUUAUAUCUCUUUCCUUUUCUUGUAGAGCCUCAUAUUGGUCCAUGGCCUUCAAAUUGGGAGCUGUUCUUUCUAUUUCUGAUAGCUUGGCAUCCAUUUGUUUCUUAAAGUCUAACUCGACUUUCUCCCGCUCAGAAGGCCUCCUAUCUCUCAAUAGAGACUCAUCUAACUCAUCAAAAUCAAAUACUGGGCCCGUUGUGGAGGAGUCAGUCUCCAUUGGAUCUGAGAUGAUAGGAAGGCUUAUUUGCUGAAGUUCACAAUUUUCUACUAUCUCCUGCUUCCGAGAUGUUAGCUGCUCAAUCUGAGUUUCCUGUAAGGCACGAAAAAAAUGUUUAGGGAUUCAAAUUAACAUGGUACAGAAGUGUCGCAAACAAAACCAAAUGCCAACCUUAGAAUUUAUCUGUCGAUUAAGUUUGGAUACAUUUGUUGUAGCAGUAGAACCCCGCUUGUUCCAUUCUUGAAUUUCCUUUUCACACCCUUCCGACUUGGAUUUCCACUCUACAUUAAUAGUGAGAGAUACAACUUUAUGAACUAAAAAGAAAGGAUAAAGUGGGUUUGCGACUCGUUUGAACAACUUGGGAAAAAGACAGAAAAAGAACAACAACCAUGAGAUCAAGUCCCGCGCUCAAGGCCUAAAAUCUGAGAAUUUAAGUUCUCCAAAAAAAAUACAGUACCAUGCCGAACUUUUAUCAUACCUUGUGCAUCUUCCUUCAACUGCUCAAUCUCAGCAGAGGCUUUUUCAGCUGCAGAGUUGGCUUCAAAUUCUUUCUUUUGAACCCAUUCUAAAUCUUUUUGUAGAUUACUAAUAGAUGAUUGGAGUUCUUCAAUUCGUGUAGCCAUGUCCCGAUUUUGCUCAUACUCUAGCCUGAAAGCAAACAAAGACCAGUAUUUUACCAUAAAAUAUGAGCAAGUGCCAAAGCUGUCAUACAACAAGUACACCAGAAACAAUAGUGGUGAAACUGGGCAGAUUGUUUGGGUUUGAUAUUUGAGUACUUCAAUAGAACCUGUGGUCAAUCUAAAAAGUUAAAACAAAAUUUUCAAAGACUUUACAGCCCUACAAAGAACUUGUAACUGGACAGCGUCAAACAUCUCUCAUCUUUAGUGAUCACUGCUUUCUAAAAAAGUCGUGUGAUAAUAGACACGACAGCGUUCUUUAAAGAUGAUCAAGACACAUCAAAAAGAAUAUAUGGUGGGGAGCGAGGAAAACCAACUGACUAAUUGGCCCAAUACUUGUAGUUGGUUGUUUCCUCAGUCAAAGUACUUGUAGUUCAUCAGAAUGUUAAAGCACAAUUUGAAGAUGCAUAAAUGCAUGCACAUUCAUACAAUAGUGUGGGAAUCAAUGAUCAAGUUAUAUAUCACAUAAUUCAUGCAUGUGUCCAACAUAAUAUACACAACUCACAUUCCACUGUAUGCCCAAAAUAAAAUAAUUACCAACAUACAACAGUAAAAUUGACAAAAGAUAAAAUAUAGGGAAGAACAUACUGGUAUUUCAAUUUUGAUAGCUGGCUACUCAAACUAAGCCUCUCUUCAGCCAUAGAUUGGGAAACCUUGAGUUGUUUUUCUUCAUACUCACGAAUGUUAUCUACCCCAACAGAUUUACUAAAGCCUUUGUAGAGUCUGUCAACAAUAUCAUUUAUCCUCUUCUCAAGCUUAUUGAUUUCUGUGCUCCGCUUAUCUACAGCUUGUUUUAGCUGCAAUCAUUUUUAAAACUGCUGUGUGAAACAAAAUGCUAGAAUAAGCUAGAGAAAACAGUAAUCAGGGAAAUACCUUCAGAAGAUCAGGACUGAUACGAUCAAUCUCUUCUUUUAUGUUCUGCCUCUCCCGCGCCAAAUUUGCAAGUUUGUCCUUGAUGCUUUUCUGUGAAAAAACUCAUCUUAGUUUUGAAUCCACUAGAAGGAACCUCAUGUUUAGCUUAAUUAAGAUAUAUCAAAGUAAAAGACUGAAAAACUAUUCACCCACCCUCCCACACCCAAAGCACAAAGGAAAAACUAAAAUAGAAUAAAUAGCAUUCAUCUCCACUUUAUAAUUAAAAGACCAAUACCAACCCUUCCCAUCAAGUCUAAUUCAUCUUAUUUGAUAAACCACACACAAGUGACACAACCAGACAUAAAACAGCUUCAAAGUUCAACCUGCAUCUUCUAGAUUUGGUGUCUGGGUAUGGAUAUAAAACUACCUUACCUGUAGAAUAGGAGUGAAAAAAAAAAGAUACAAGUAAAUCCUUGCAAUUACCUUCUCAAUAUCUGCAUAUUGGAUUUUCUUAUCAAGCCCACUAAGUCUGCCAGCUGUUUCAGACUCUUUUAGCUGCAUCUCUCUAAUUGACCCAAGCUCUUCUAGCUCCAACUCAAACUGUUCUUUCUUCUUCUUCAGUCCUAAACAACAAACAGUUAAACCACAUCAAAAAUUACCAGACCAAAAUUCAAAUGACAAUACAGCAAUUCAAAACUCACCUUCGACUUUUUUAUCAUCCCACUGUUUUGACCUAGCUUCCAUUCCUCCACUGGUACCACCAGUCAUUGUGCCAGAUUUUGACAGCAUAAUUCCAUCAACAGUUACAACUAAUUAAAGGGGGAAAGAGAAAAAAAGUUAGAUGCUGGCUAAAUAAAAACAUGCCUGACACAGAUACUUAACGAUAACAAAGUUGAACGCAUUACCUUUGAACCUCUCACCACUCCAGCUUAGGCGCUUAGCCUCAUCAAGUUCGUCACAAACGAGAGUAUUGCCAACCGCAAAGAGAAUAGCCUUCUCCAAGGCAUGAUCAAAUGUAUGGUUGUUAAGUAGACAAACUAAUAGCACCUCUUCGUAGAUUCUCAUGCAGAAAAUAGUUUUCUUACAAACAGAAAAACAUACAAGGAAUACAGGCAACAUACAUCAAGGACAGUACAUAGCAUAGUGAUCAGGAGGAUGAUCUAAAACAAUAGCUAACCACGAAAUGAUGAAGGUGUGAGCGUGCUUCUAUGCAUUAACAUGUUCCAUCUAAAUAAAUGCAGAGACGAUACUAAUCUGGAUGAUUAUACUCAAACUCUUUGUGGGAGAAAGCCAGAGGAAUGAUGAGUUACAUGAAGAAAACUUGUGCCAUAAAUGGAAGAAAAGAAUGAGAACAGAAAAUCAUCCAAGUUGAAAGGGAAAAGAAUUAAAUAAUUUUUUUUAAAAAAAUCAACAAGAAUAAAACACAUAAUGGGAUCCUAAUGCAAGUCUAUAAUAGAACACAAGUUGUUCAAUUUUUUUAGUUAUUUAAAAGUUCCAUAAUUUCUUCUAGAAAAAUAUAUGUUUUCGAUAACCAGAGUUCCACUACCCAAAAACAAUAAUGCACCAGAAAUUAGCAGCACUAACCGGCCCAGAUCAAAGAUACUCUCUUACUGCAUAUGAUGGAAAACAUGAAAAUGUAAUACAACAUAUAUAUACACACACAAAAAUAUAUGUAGUUAUGUAUAUAGAUCAAUCACACAUAACAUCUCUGCCUAUUUCUAUGCAUACAAAUAAAGAGCUAUACAAUGUGCACUACACACAUCCUUUUCACACAGACAUGCAUGCAUGCAGACAAACACCAACAAGAUUACACAAAAAUGUAAAUCUUCAACUACAGAGUUCGGAACAAACAAAAGUUUGGACACUAAACCAAUGUAGGCUUUUGUAGAAGCAAAUAUCAAGAAAAUAACACAUAGAUUUUAUUUGAUCUCUACUGUACCGUAAGAUGAUAACCAUGACAAAGAAUUAUUGAAUUUUUGCUCUCAAGAAAGCAUGAUGAAAGGAUAUUGAACAACAUCAAAAACCAGCUUUGCAGUACCACCCAAGUUACGCAGUCUCUCCAUUACUUGCUUUACACGAACAGAUUGGAGAGGUAUGAAUGUCUGAGGAGGAAGCCUUUGUUCUUUCAAAUACUGCAGAAAUGCAAGGAUCAGUAUCAGAACCGCAUUCACAUGAAUGAUAUAAUAUUCAAACUUUGUCAACAUAUAUUUCACAUUGGUACCCCAAGUAAUCAAUAAAACUGUCCGUAUCAUUAGAUAUUUCAAUAUUCAAACACACAAAAAACCAACAGACUCAAACAGGAUAAGAGAAAGAAAAAAAAUUAAAUCUCUUGAUUUUCCUAUAAUCUAUUUUCUUUAUUUUUAUUCUGAUUGCCUUGCAACUACUGUGAUGUGAAUAAUCAUUAUAAAAAUUGAGAAUUUAAAAUCUUAAUUUUACCAAUGAAAUAAGGAAGGCAAUCUUAACAAGCUAGUGUAAGCAUUCUACAAGAGCGAAAAGAUGAGAACAUAUAUCACCUUGAUACACUCCUUUCCUGUUUGUUCAUCUUCAACUACGACUGCAUCCAUAAAUUUUCCCAUGGCAACAGUGACAGCAAGAUUAUACUUCUUUUGUGUUGGCCUACAGAGUUCAGUCAUGCGACCAUGGACACCCUGAAACAAGCGCUUGAGAGUCUCUACUGCCUGAGACAACCUGGAAUCCCUCUCAUUCUCAUAUCUAUCGGCCUUCAGUUCACGUAAUUGCUUCUCUAAUUCAUCAAUUUUUGACUUCAAAUUUUCAUACUUCUGUCUGUAUAUCCAUAAAAAGGAUAAUAGUAAACAUACAAAUCAUCACAUUUUGCUAGUGUCUUGUAAAAUAAGUAAAUAACAACCUAAAGAAGAGAAAAGAAUGGAGAAAUUUAAUCAAAUGAAUAAAGGGGAAUGAGAAGCACCAGGCAACACAUGCCAAAACCUUAGCAGAACGUAUGAAUGACUCUUAAAAAGCAUAAAUUUAAAAAAUAAAAAUAAAAAAAAGCAAGCAUACAAGCAAGUUGAAUAACCUGGCAUUCUGAUGUUUAUCCUUCAUCACAAGCAAUUCAUUAUUCAGACUUUUUACUUCCUCUCUGUGUUUUGCAGAGUUAUCUUUAAUGUUUUUCAGCCUUGUCAGCAUUUGCUUAUUCUGUGAAUCCAGUUCACUCUCCCUACUUCUCAACUGUUCAAGAUUUUCUUCCAAAUUCUUUUGAGCUUCAAGAUCAGCAUGCUGUUGCCGAUCCAGAACCUCUUUCUCAUCUGUUAGCUUCGCAGUUUUCAUCCCAGCAUCCUCCUUCCUGUGACAUCAGCAUACCAUUAAUAUUUACAAAGCCUAUCAAGGAGAGCCUCUAAAUCCUAAGUUAUAUGGUCCAGUGAAGGUAAUUUAGAAAGUUCAUGAAGAUCGAAAGGUAGGCAGGAAACUGACUUCAAUUCUCAGCUCAAAAUUGAAAAGUAACAUGGCUUUUGGUUAAAGAAACAGAACUUCAUCUUUAAAACGUAAGGAAUGGGACACUAUCAUCACACUGAGAUGCAGUAAUAAAAUUAAACAGAGAUUACCAAACACUUACACUUUAAAAUAUUCCCUCAAUUUAGUAUCGUCUAACUGUAAUUUUUCACCACCGUCUCGUCCUUUUUCAUGUAAAUCCUCUAGUUGAGUGGUCAAAUCUUGGAUGCCCUUCUGCAGCUUUUUAAUUUCCUCUUUAUGUCUCUCCCUUUCUUUUUCUUUCUUACCAAGCUCAGUCUUACUUUUCUUGAUUUUUGAAUUUAUACGAGACAUUUCCUCUUUCAGUUUCAGCAGCUCUGGUUUCUACAAAUACGAAACCACAUCAAACAAUUCACUGUAUGUCCUCUUGAUCAAGCAUAAGAUCAAUUAUAUUUACAGAAAAGUAAAGGCCAUUUAUUUUAGAACGUCAGCAAAACUAGCAAUAUAACGGAAAAAAAUUCACAAGGACCCGUUCAUUCACCCACAGCAGCUAUACGAGACAGUCAGAUACUCUUAUAUUAUAUAUGUAGGUUGAACGAACACGGUUUCGCUAUAAUAAGUAAAAAUGUAAAGAUUUAUGUUAUAACUUCUCUUAAGCCUCGGUCAUUUGAGGGUCUAACGGAGACCAACUCAGUAACAAAAAAGCAAAAUGAAACUCAUGGUAUUGGACACAACUAUCAAUGAAAUUUCAAUCUUCUGUCCAAGGCAAAGAAACUCACGCUUUUGUCGAGUUUAUUACUUCUCUCGGCAAUCUUCUUCUCACAUUGGGCAAUCUCUUUUAAGUACUUGUUGAGUUCUUUCUUCUUUUUGGUUGCUUCUUGCUGAAAAUCAUCUAGUUCUUGCAUAACCUGUUCACGGUUUCUCUUUUCAGCUUCAAGCUCAUUAGUCGUUUUUGUUAUAUCUCUUUCUAUGUUGAACAACUGCCACAAAAAAUGUUCUCUCUUCAAAGAUUUCUGCAAGAAAGAAUACAUGUGAUUUUAGUAUUACACAGAAUCAAAGUUCUUAAGCAGAAGAUUCAAAGACAGGAGCAUACACCUAUUGAGCAUGUAAAAGAAACAAAACGUCAAUACCAAAAUAGUCUACAGGGAUAAGAGUUUGAUAUAUUAAAGACAGAUCCUAUAUUAGAUUUAAUCUACAUGUGUGAAUGCACACAACCAUGUGGAUGCAAGAUUCAUAGUGUGUGCGUAUUUGCGUGUGUGCGUGCAAAAGAGAUAAAAGGGAAAUGCAAUAUGCGAGACCCUCUUUCCUGAAAGUGAGUUCCUAGUAUCUACAAUAUCUUUUAAAGUUACAUGAUAUCUUUCAUGCAGGCACUUGUACAAUUAAUUACAUAAUUUCACCCAACACGGAUAAUUGAAACAAGCAGGAUAGACAUACGAACAACCCCGAUAAACAUAAUAUACAACAUAUGCAUAUUAUUGUGUGCAUAUAGACAUAUGUAACCAUUAACCAGUAAGCACGGACCAAGUAUGUGUAUAAAUAUAUAUACACACACACACAGCAAGUACGUGUAUAUGUAUGUAAAUAGAAAAAGAACGUUGAGGUACAAACCAGUUCAUUUUGCAGGCGAAUAUGCUUCUCAGCUUCUUCCUUUUGCUCUUUCUUUUGCUUCCUCUCCGCUACUAUGGUCCUCUUUUUCUGAUAAACAAGUGCUGCUUUUUCUUCAGCUAUGCCUUUCUCUUCUUCGUACUUUUCAUAGUCUCUCUUGAAGUCAUCUGACCCUGAGAUCUGCUCAAGCAGUGCAGUGAGUUCCUUAGGAUUUUUAGAGGCAAUGGACUCCACAUCACCCUACGGAGAAAGAAAUAAUCAGUAAUUAAAAGUGACCCGGUUACUGCCAAGAUAUGCAAACAUCAAAGUCACCAUAAAAGCAGCAGUCAUCUAUUUGUCUAUGAAAAAUAAUGCAAAUGAGUAGAGAUUGCACGGUUAGCAACUUCUGUGAAUUCUCGUUUUUUCCCUUUUAAUUUUGGUUUGGAUGAACAUGUUUCCAAAUUUAAUAAAGAUGUUCCAACGCGUCACUACACCGGAGUGCCCAAAUAAGAGUACACAGAGCCUGAAUUCAACAAUGGGUGGCAAGACAUUUACGUUACCUAACCCAACACCUUCAACUUCGCAAACGAAAUGUGCAAUUGGCGUCAGAGACAUUUUCGAUAUUCAAUAAUUAACUAACGCAAGGUGUGGCCAAUAAAUGUCAUUGAUGUACCUUCUCAUUCUAUUCUCAUUCAAAACCUCUGCUUCUUAGCAAACAUACUCCCUAAAGCAUAAUCAAUGAAAACAAUUCGACAUAGAAAAGCUAAAUUACGAGUAUCAAGUAAUCGAAAUCAACCUGAAAAACAAGAAAAUUGCGGGCCUUGACCAGAAUUCCCAACGACUUAAGCUUCUCAGUAUAAGUAUCCGCCGUCACCGACCUGCCGUCGAUGCGGUACUCACUGCCGCCGGAGCUAGUGAUGGCCCUGGUGAACUGGAUCUCGGACUCAUUGGCAAGCUGAUAAACCAAGGUCACGAACGCCCGGCGUCCCUUCUCGGUCUUCUCGCUGUCGUCCAUGGCGUAGAUCAGGUCCUUGAGCUGGGACCCACGGAGCUGGCCGGUCUUGACGCCGAGGACGAAGCUGAUGGCGUCCAUGAGGUUGGACUUGCCGGAGCCGUUCGGGCCGAUUAUGGCGGUGAAGUCGGAGAAGGGGCCGAUGACCUGGUGGCCGCGGUAGGACUUGAAAUUCUCGAGCUCGAGGCGGUGGAUUUUGCCCUGGGAGAUGAAGGACGGCAUGGCUUAGGGUUUCGGGGAGUUUGAAUCGAAGCUAGGGUUUGGGGAGGAGGUGGAAUUGAGCGGAGUAAAGGAGAGAGGAGAUGAGGGGAGGGGUGGCCGGAGAGAUGAGGAGGGGAGGUUUCCGGCGAGAGGGGAGGGAGGAGUGGAGGCGGAGAGGAGGGGAUUGGGGAUUUUGAGGUGGGAAUUGGCGGGAGAUUGGGGGAGUUUUGGGGAAUUUUAGGGAGGGUUGGUGAUUUGAGUUGCCAUUUUCGAAGUGAGAAAAAGUAGGAGACCGCAAAGAGUGAGCGCUUUAGUAGAGAGUCGAAACGUUUCGCUUUGGGCAAGAGAAUGCUAUUAUUUUUAUUUGCAGUUUAGUCCUUAAGGUUUUCUUUAUUUUCGUUUUGGCCGCUAGUUGGGUCAAGAUUUUACUUUUUUCUUCUUGUCUGAAUUCAAUAUGUGGAAAUUCAGUAGUUAGUUUCUUACCUUUCUGACUUUAAUCUUGUUUGAUCAAAACAAAAAACAAGCUCUUAUGAACUUUCAAUAGUCUCAUAAUAAUGUGUAUCAAUGAAGAAUGAAUCUAAAAAGGGGAUCAAUAGCUACUUAAAUUAUUGUUAAGAUUAUAUGAUAUGAUGUUAGAUUAUAGAAUCAUAUCACAAUAAAAAAUUGUAAUUUAAUAUUACUUGGAGAAUCAAUAUAUAAUCUUAAUUUUAGCGUAGAUGGUUAUUGUCUUUAUUGAUCCACCCAAAUCGAGAUCUAGAAAGAUGAAUGUCAAGGAGCUUUGGGGGGAAACUGGAAAGUAGGGGAUUGGCGGGAGAUGAAAUUUGUAAACUGCAGAAUAAAACUGCGAUAAUAUAAAAUUAUGAAGAAUGGGCUUUUCUAUUCAAAAAAAAAAAUUAUGAAGAAAAAAAUUACCAUGGUCAAUUGACUUUCCUAACAAAAAACAUCACAAAAAAGGUGCAACCAAGGCAAAGGCUAUGAAUAGGGAACAAAUCAAGUUGUCAUUCUACUUUCAUAAUGACAGUACGUCUUUAUAUCGUUGCGGUACGGUUCUUGCACUCGGGAAUUUCCAACAAGGAAAGCGAAGAGAAACCGGCAUAUAAGUGAGGAGAGAAUCCAGAACAUAUACUACACCAGAGAACGGUACAUAGACAUGUCAAGUAAGGCAAAGAAACUACUCAUCUGAAAAUGAAAAACAGAAAAAGACAGUAGCAAGAUGCACAUACAUAAAAAGAGUUUAGCAGAAGGGGCUUAUAGAAUGGAGACAGCUUCCACAAAAUAGUUUUGCCCCCACCUGAAGUCCACAUUCCAUGCUUAAAAAGUACCGAGUAUGAUUACAGAAUGGUUAAUUACUCUGAACAACAAUCAAAGAAAGAGACUCCUAAUGGACAAGGAUAUCCUGCUAGUAAGAAGUCAUCUGGAUGGAUGAAGCUUCAUCAAUGACCAACUUUUUCACUGCUAGACGAAGUGCCGUCUUGUACAGAAUCCGCUAUUUUGGUUUCACUAGGAGUUCCCACAGGCGCAGAUGGGAUGACUUCAGAAUAAAUGGAAUAUUCAGGCAGUAUACCGCCACGGUUUUGGAUGUCAUCUAAAUCCUCACGCUCAGGGGGGUUUGAGUUUCCUGGCAGUUCUCCAUGAUUUUGAGCCGGCACUUCUGGCACCUCAGGUCUGGUGGCAUCCGGAUUUUCAAGCUGUUGGCCUCCAGAGUUUUGGGAAGCUUCCAACUCCUCAUACUUGGAAAUAACUUGUUGAAGUUCUUCAUGAAGAUAUAGAGCCUCAAAGAGCAUACUUUCAUCAUCAGUAGUGGUUUCUAUAAUCCUCUGAAUAACAGGCUGAGACUCCUUGCACUUUUCCAGCAUGUUCAUCGUUAGUUCUUCCUGCAAUCAAGCAAGCAUUUCCACCAAGUUACAUAUCAUCUUCCGCUCACAAGUUGAUCUUUGGAUUAGGUAAAAUAUGGAAAAAUAAUCGUAGGAAAGGUCAAAUACUAUCUAGAAGAAUUAUUAUCAUGCAAUAUAUAAUCAUAUAGGAUAACAGCGUACAGGCAAACCUAGCCAUAGAAGAAUUACAACCGCUCUCCCUUACGGUCUGUGCUCAUAGUCAUAAUGCACGGAACAUGAAAAUUCUUCAACCUGCCCUAUAUUAUUUCUAUCUUCCUUUUAUAUACAAGGGAUAUGUAUUCUUCAAUAAUAUUUUAUAAAAGUAUUUUGAAUAUCCGGAUGCUUUAGAAUAGAAAUUUGUCAGUGAUAAGGAAGCAAAGCACUUAGUUCUAUCUCAGUAUUGAUUCCAGAGAAAUUUACACACACACACACACACACAUAUAUAUAUAUAGGAAUUAGUAUUGAUUUCCACAGAGAAGUCAGAAACACACCUUCAAAGGUUUCGGAUCUGUUUCACUAUUCAAAAUACUAGACAGCAACUCCAGGCUAUUGCGAGCUACAACAAGACAUUCUUUUUUUUCCUCGACUGAUAGGUAGUUAUAGCGAAAUUCACGGUCACUUGCAUCAUGAAAUCCUGUGACUGGUACAGGGUAUCUUUCCGGGGGAGGCAUAGGCUCUUCCAUGUAUGAUUCCAAGGUAGAUUGCAACGAGGGCGAAGUCCCUUCUGGUGCCACUGGACGUGCUCCUCUUUCUCUCAAUGUCUGUAUAACACCCAGAGAUAUAAUAAGGACAUCAAAUAUUACUUCAAUGGAUGAAAACCAAGAUUACUACAAGAAGAAAAUUCCAUGGUCCACAGAAGACAGGCCAGAAACUUAACAAAAUGAUACGGACCUAACAUAAUAAGCUAAAUGAUGAUGAGGAAUUUGGUACAAUGUCACUCUACCUUAGGAGAGGGUAUGCAGAUCAAAAAGGCGAUUUCAUGGGUAGAUGUAAACUAAAAAUCAUUAUAUCAAUCAAGAAGACCACAUUAUGGAUCAUCUUCAAAGCGGGGAACUAUAUACUAGGCCAUAUGAAUGUAAAACUGGGAGGUCAAGUCAUAAAUUGAUCAGAAAAGGAAAAGCAUACGCAAUGCUUUGUGCAACUUCCGUAGACUCAUAACAGAGAAACAGCAACGAAUAAUUGUUCUUCAGCCCCAGAAUAAAUAACAUAGCCUUUAUCUAUGAAAAACCAUAGCUGCUGGUUCAAAGGGCCAAUCAACUCCUAAACACUGAUGUAAUUCAAUGAUGCAUAGAAAAAUACCAGCUAGCUAAAGUCUCACACAAGAUAUGCUUUAUGCAACGACAUAGAAAGAAAUCAAAGAAUGCUCACCAUGUAAGUCUGACGAAACACGGGUAGAUAAGCAAGAUCCUGAGACUCUCCCCACGCCCUAAUCAACUGCAUAGCCCUCCUCCUAUUCUCAUUAUCCGUCUGCGGAUUCUCAAUCAUCCUAACCAUCUCCUCCAACACCUUCUCGGACGCAAUCUCCGAAAACACCUUCUCACAAUUCAUAGCAAUCGCCUCCAACAAGUCAAGACUCAGCCUCUGCGUCACCACACUCUUCCCCGAAAUCUUCCUCUUAAUAACCCUCACAACUUCAAACCCGCUGAACUCCUCACUAUUAAUCAUUGCACAUAUCCUCAAGUUCAUCCCCCAAUUCGGCUCCUCCAUCGUCUCCAACGUCGCCUCGUCGAUCAUCCUCGAUUCCGGCGUCGGCGUCUGCAGAAUCUCCUUCACUUUUCCACUCACCAUCCUACCCAUCUGAGCUCCACUCGUCACCAGUUUCUCACCCAAGUUACCCAGCUGAGUUAAGUUGAACUUGUCCAUACUUCACAACCCUGGUUCCAUUUUACAAAUCACAAUAAAACACACACACCCUCUUAGUCUCUCAACUCAAAUCUUCAAUGAAACUGUAACUAUUCAGCAAAGAAAUGACAAAUCCUAGAUACAGUUCUAGAUUGACGUUUUCAUAUGAAACAAAAGCAGAUGGAAUUGAGAGAUGGGAAAAGUGAGGUACCUGGUUUGAUGGUGGGGGCUCCGGCGACGGAAAACGGGGACUGGGCGCAGGGAAGCGUUGAUCUUUUUCUGGUGAAGGUUUGGAGUUGAAUUGGUUUAGAGAGAGAGAGAGAGAGAGAGAGAGUGGGGAUAGUCAAAACUAGAAAGGGAGAGAGGGAGUACGUGGCGGCAAGAUAGGAAAGGAGACAGGGAUUUGGCGUAGGUUCGCGGUUAGUGGUGGGUCUAGUGCCACGUGGAUUUGGGAGUUUCGGGUCGGGUCCGAGGUCUGUUGGAAAAUUGGAUAGUUCUAAAAACGGUCUGUGUACGGAAAAAAGGAUGGAAUAAACAGGGUCUUGCUCGUUUAGAUAAAACUAUCGAGGUACUAACUAACUUGAUUGUCUUCAUCUUGUUUGUUACUGAUAAAGUGAUAAGUNAUAACAAAGGUUGAGCAAAAAUCUAAGUUAAGCUAUACUUCAUAAGAAAUGUUUUNAUUGUUGACUAUUCUUUAAAAAUUAGAUGUAAUCACUCGCUCAUCACCAAAAAAUCUAAUUGUUGUUUAGGAGGGACCAAAAAUUUGCCCUGAGAUUGGNUAUGCAGCCCAAUNAGAGCCGNNNNNNNNNNNNNNNNNNNNNNNNNNNNNNNNNNNNNNNNNNNNNNNNNNNNNNNNNNNNNNNNNNNNNNNNNNNNNNNNNNNNNNNNNNNNNNNNNNNNNNNNNNNNNNNNNNNNNNNNNNNNNNNNNNNNNNNNNNNNNNNNNNNNNNNNNNNNNNNNNNNNNNNNNNNNNNNNNNNNNNNNNNNNUUGUAUGGUGGGGCGUCCGGCGACGGAAAACGGGGAACGUGGCGCGAGGAAGGCGUUGUAUCUUUCUUGGUGAAGGUUGGAGUUGAAUAGUUAGUAGAGAGAGAGAGAGAGAGAGAGAUGGGGAUAGUCAAAACUGAAAGGGAGAGAGGGAGUACGUGGCGGCAAGAUAGGAAAGGAGACAGGGAUUUGGCGAGGUUCGCGGUUAGUGGUGGGUCUAGUGCCACGUGGAUUUGGGAGUUUCGGGUCGGGUCCGAGGCUGUUGGAAAAUUGGAUAGUUCUAAAACGGUCUGUGUCGGAAAAAGGAUGGAUAAACAACGGGGCUUGCUCGUUUUGGAUAAAACUAAUCGAGGUACUAACUAACUUGAUUGUCUUCAUCUUGUUUGUUACUGAUAAGUGAUAAGUGAUAACAAAGGUUGAGCAAAAUCUAAGUUAAGCUAUACUUUCAUAAGAAAUGUUUUUCAUUGUUGACAUCUUUAAAAUUAGAUGUAAUCACUCGCUCAUCACCAAAAAUCUAUUGUUGUUUGGAGGGCAAAAUUGCCCUGAGAUUGGCAUUGGCAGCCCAUGAGAGCCGCUUUGUUCAUCACCGACAAGGGGUGAAGUUAGUGUCGACACGAAAAGAAGCGCAGCCAGAGAGAAUAGGGUUUUCAUUGUCUCUUUUUAAAGUUUUUUUACCUUGAUUUCAUUAUUGAUGGUUCUACUCAGCCAUUCGAAUUUGCUAUAUAUACCUCAUUUAAUUUUUGUGAAAAUUGAUUUCCUCUCUUACAGUCUAAAAAAUUUCACAUGUUCUAUCCAAGGAAGAAAGCAAACCUAGACACUCGUAAUUUUAGGUUCUUAUCGUUGACGAGGAACUUCAUAUAGAAUUUUAUUUUUGAGUACGGCUAUUGAGACCUCCAAAUUUGCUCAGUAUACCUCUCAUUCUCUCUACACCUCCAUUUUACUUUUAAAUACAAACAUUUGCUCACUAGACCUCCAUUCAAAUUUCUAAAAUAACAUUGUUUAUGUAAUUCACAUAUAUUUCAAUAUAUUACUCAUUGCACCACUUAUUCAUUCACUAGACCUUCCAUUCCUUUUUAUUUUUUUCGCAUGCGAACAUCCAUUCCUGACAUCCAUUAUUUAAUUUUUUUUUUUUUCUACGCAAACAUCCAUUCCCGACCUCCAUUUCUUUUAUUUUUUAUUUUUGCAUAAGAUGUCACUAGACCUUCUAUUUUUUUUUAUCAAAUUGUAAGAAAGAAUUUCAAUGACAUAANNNNNNNNNNNNNNNNNNNNNNNNNNNNNNNNNNNNNNNNNNNNNNNNNNNNNNNNNNNNNNNNNNNNNNNNNNNNNNNNNNNNNNNNNNNNNNNNNNNNNNNNNNNNNNNNNNNNNNNNNNNNNNNNNNNNNNNNNNNNNNNNNNNNNNNNNNNNNNNNNNNNNNNNNNNNNNNNNNNNNNNNNNNNNNNNNNNNNNNNNNNNNNNNNNNNNNNNNNNNNNNNNNNNNNNNNNNNNNNNNNNNNNNNNNNNNNNNNNNNNNNNNNNNNNNNNNNNNNNNNNNNNNNNNNNNNNNNNNNNNNNNNNNNNNNNNNNNNNNNNNNNNNNNNNAACAAGGUAUUGUGUCUCAAAAUUAAUCUCUAUCGAUCAUCAAAAGAAUGUUUUCAUGAACUUGAUAAUUUAUAGAUCAUUUAAAAAAAAAAUAUUGUUUUCACGUAUAUGCGUGCAACACUGCAAUAUAAUGAUAUAUAACAUAACAUGUUGUAGGAAUAUUCUACAUGUGUAUGUCUUGGUCUAUGCUAGUCAUAUAAGGAAUCUUGAUUCCGUAUAGAGAUAUGAUAUUAAAGAUAUGUUUCCUUGUAGAACACCAUAUAGUGCUAUCACUGUUAUGUAAUCCCUAUAUAAUGGCUCUUAUAUAAAUGAAUAAGAUACAGUUCUUCAUUCUCUUUACGAUCUAUUGUUCUUUCAAUAAUUAUUUCUUGAUCAUAAUUACAUAAAUUUUUCUGUCCACAUGCAUGAUGGAUAUUACUCAUAGUUUUAGUUGUUAUAAUAUACAUAUAUAUAUAUAUGCUAUAAUAAUUAUGGAGUAAAAUUAGAAAAUGACAAUCAAUAAGAAAAAUAAUAAAAAGCAAUUAAUUCUUAUUUAAUUGGAAGUUUAAAGAGAAUAAAUAUUAUAUUUAUUUUUGUGUAAUUAUUGUCCUUAAUAGUCAUUAUGUAAGAGGAUAUAUAUGUUAUUUAAUAAUUCAAAAUAUAAUGAGGUCCAGUGAGCAAAUUUAGAUGUCCUAAUAACCGCACUAUUUAUUUUUUAUAUGAUAAUAUAUUACGUUUGAAAAAUUGAUCUUGUGUUGGACAGACUAUCCAUAUGCAUAUAUGCCUCAUGAAGUGAAGGUGUUGCACAAACCAUAAAGACAUUUGAAUGUGAUGUAAUAUUUUCUUCAGGAUGCGGUGAUGCGGGGAGAGAGAGAUAGACCUUCGUACUCAUGUUAUGAAGUACCUUCCAAACAUUUGAAGUUUAACUGCAACUCACUUUGUUGACUAGAAUCUACAAUUACCGUUGCAGACUCACAGCUACUAAUUUUAUGAAACUUAAUUAAAAAUCCGAAAAUUAUUUUAUGCACCUUGGUGCAAGUGAACCGAGCAACUAAUAUAUAAUAUUUUUGAUCCGGCUAUCCACGUCGCACUACAUGCAUAUAUCCUAAUACCGUUAACAAAUUGAAACACAAAAAAAUAGUCUCAAGUGUUCAAGAAGUGAGAACCUGAUGUUGAAGAAGAUGUACUUUUAUUAUGGUCGUUUAAUUUGAUCGGAUCAAAAAUGAAAAUGAAAGAAAGAAAUUUAUGGUCUAUAAUCUUCAUUUGAUCUUCACAUACGGCAAUUUAAAGACUUACAUAUUAGUACAAGUACAUCACAGUAUACAGGGCAUAGAAUCCAUCCGGUAAAAAACCUAACAUAGGUGGCCAUUAAUUCAUUAUUUUAGUUUUGUCAAAAAAAAAAAAUACAGAGCUCUACUACCAUCAAAACACAUCAUCGUCUAAAAUCGCGAUUUGCGAAAGCCCACGAGAGCAUAAUAACGACACAGAAACUUUUUAGGGGUUUAACAAAAGUGGAACGCCCAAACUGAACUUCUUCAACUCAUAAAGCAGUUCAAUCUCUCUCCGUGUUUGCGAUGGUUUCCCUUGGCACCUGGUUCCGAUACAUAGCCCACAAGCUUGAAUACUCUGCCACCAUCAGCUGGAAGGUCUCUCACUCAUUCUUUGCUCUUCCCCAUUUUGUAAUUUAUCUUUAUUUGCUUUGAUUAAUCCGCUUCUGGGUUAGAAACUAUGAUUCUCUAGACCCACUAAGGUUAAACAUCGAACUUUUGUAAUGGGGAGUUGUUAAUUUUGGUAAAGGAAUGCUCUUUUGGGAUUUAUGGGACCGGUUUGCCCCUACCUGUGCUCUUUUGUUGUUUAAAGUAUGAAACUAUAUGGACCGAAUUCAUGAAUUGUGAGUCUGGGUUCUGUUUUGAUGUGGUUUAUGGUGUUAGGAUGUUGUUGUGGAUAAGGGUUUGGUACUUUGGUUGUUGCUUUUCUUAAUAAUUUGUGGAUUUUCUCAAUGGCAUUGUUAUGUUUGAUCAUAAUUUCAUAGUUGUUUUCCCAACUGGUGUUAUAUAAUACUUAGUGUAAUAUUGAUACAUGGGUCGGAGCUUGUGUUCGUUUAAGUGCUUGGUUUAGCCUCAAAAUUGCGAUUUAGUCAUUUCCGGUGGCUGUUUUGGGUGCAUAAGAAGAUAGAGUUAGCUUAUAGAUAUGCUAUGAAGAUGAAAACUUUUGAAAAGCCGAGUUUGGUGCUGGUGUGUGGCUGUUGAAAGUUUAAGGUCAAGCGUAAAACUGGGGGACAUCUUUCUUCCUCAGUUUUUUAAUGUAUAGCUUGAGGCAAAAGGAAUACAUAUAAUCCUGAUAAUCCUUUCACAAGUCAUUAUUAGUAGCAGACUUGGUUAGUUUAUCAGAUGGUUUGUAUGGUCAACCAAUACUUGAUCUCCUUUUGAUAUGUAAGUUAUUUAGUUAGUAAAGGUUGUAUGAAUGAAGUGUGUUUCUGUUUUGUCCCUUGUUUGUUAAAGUUUUACUGACAUCAAGGUUUGGGAGAUGCAGAACUAUAAAAGAGGUCAAAUCACAGACAGAGAGCUUGGUGAUGCCGUUUGGAAAAACCUGUUCCAGGGAAAAUUGACAUACUUGCACUGGAACAAAGGAGCAGAGAUGGCCCCAAGUAUAGGUGAUCAAGGGGGAACUCUCCUUGUCAGGAAGUUACCAGCUGCAGACCCCAGGUAGUUAUCAUUUUAGAUGCAUCUUUCCAUGUUGAAUCUCCGUUCUGUGAGUUUUUAAGAUUGAGAGUAAAAGCCAUUCCUUCCAAAGUUACUCUAUGGAUCAGUUUGGAGAUCAUUUUCAUGUAAUUAUAUAAGAUGCCUCAUCGUGCAUUUAAAAGAAUGAAACUUUAAUUGUUAAUCUGAAAUCAGUUUCUUAUGAGGCACUUUCUAAUGGUUGUGGGUUUUGUAUUAGAACCUCUGAUUUCAUGAAUACUUACAGAAACUUUAAGGUAUCAUCUCAAAUUCUAAAUUCUAGGUCACCCAUGAUGACUUAUGGAUUCAUUCCAAAAAAAAAAAUGGAUGACUAUUAUGGAUUACUCAAUCAUGCAGUUAGUCUUUCUACCUUAAAUUGUUUCUUUUCUCUUUAGUUGCAGUUUAGCAAAAUUAUUGACCUUAACUUAUGUUGGUUAUAAAUUCUUUGUGAACCAUUUGGUUUAGCAGUGACUGAUUCUGCAAAUGAAUAUAUGGCAUAUGAAUAUAUGUGGUCUGGUUUUGGUCACUCAUAUUGAGUAGAAAUGUGUGGCGCUAUUCUCUUAAGCGUUUCUUCAACAUGUACUUUUGACUUUUGAAAUGACGAUAAGCUUUAUGAUGCGUGUUUACAUGAUUUGAUAGUUCCCUACCUGUUCAAGUGACACCUUCAUUUUUAUCUGACAGGCGUGUUUUUGUUGGGGAUGUAGUGGUCUUGAAGGACCCUGAUAAUCCAGAUAAUUAUUUGGUGAGAAGAUUGGCUGCGGUUGAAGGUUAUGAAAUGUUGUCCACUGAUGAAAAGGAUGAUCCUUUUGUCCUUGAAAAGGACGAAUGCUGGGUGUUGGCGGAUAAUGAAGCUUUGAAGCCUAAGGUACAUGCUAUCUUUAAAUUUAUGUUCAGACAAAUGUAUUGACUAGAUUUGCGGUUACUGCACAAUCCUUUAUAUUCCAUCAGUUUAUAUUUAUACUGCUAUAGCACUAGCAGAGUGGAUUAGCAUCUUUGUAGCAAUACAUAAUGCUUGGCAGCAGGCGGGCAGUUCUGAACUUUUGAUUGCUAUCUUGUUGUUUUAGCAUCUAUGAAAUCAUUAACAUAAUUCUUUCAUGAACUAUACCUUAGUAGUAAUUCUAAUAUGAAGAGGAUCCUUAUCAAAUCUUCAGGAGACCUUUUCCAUGAGCUAUACUUACGUAAAAACAAAAAAGCUGAGGUGCUUGUCUCAUUAACCACUACAAACAAAUUUGAUUCAUUACAAAAUGUUAUGGAACUGGUGAAAAAUAUCAAAAUAGGUAAAGACUACUGGAAAUAGGUUUUAUGCAUGAGAAGGAAUAAAUGUAUCAACUGAAUAUAUGUUAUUCUAAUUGAAGAUGGUUAAAACACUUUGGAUGAAACUUGGUCAUAAACAUGCAAUAGAUGCAUUAAAUAUUCAUCGAUUGCUAGAUAAUCUUCUGUCAUGCUCUUGAAAAGAUUGAAACUCACCUAUAGUUAUAGUUAUAUAAUCCAUUGUUUAUCAUAUUUUACUUGAAGAUAUGCACGCCAUGGUUAGAAUCAAGAAUCCACCUGCCAUCAUUUGAUCAUUUGACUAUUUGGGGGCACAUGUAUAAAUCUUUAUUCUCAUGUACUGCAGGAAGCCAAUGAUAGUCGAAAGUUUGGUCCUGUUUCAAUGACGGACAUAGUUGGUAGAGUCAUAUAUUGUCUACGGACAGCUGUUGAUCAUGGCCCUGUUCAGAAUAGGCAAGUUACUCAAACCGAGUCUGCUUAAUUGAUUAUGCUGUUUUGUUGGACAAGUUCUUGAAUGAUUUAUGUUUGUUUCUUGUGCUCUUUUUCCAGUCAUUUUAGCAUGAGAAAGGAUUCGCCUGUGCUGGAAGUUGAGUUGGAUGUCGAUGAGAUGGCAAAAAACCACAAGUCCUAAAAUGUGUCAUAAGCCACUGACUCAUUUGGUUUGUACCUAUUUCGCCCCAAUUUCCUAUUGGAUUAUUUUUCUUCUUUCUUUUCUUCCCCUUGUUUCAAGUCGGGAAAAAAAUAAAGAUGGAAUUUCAAGCUGUUCUCUAGUCAUGGGAGGGCUCAUGUUUGUAUGAGUUUAAGGUUGUUCAGGUCCUCAUUGUUCAGUCACUGUCUUUCAUUCUUGUUGAGAAUAUGAAACGGCCUGUACGGAAUUUUGUGUUUAGAAAUGAUAAUUUUAUUCUCUUGCAGCAGUGUAAUCUGAAGUACUGAAGAAAAGAAGGAUAAAUCCAGAUGUUGUGAGGGAACUUUUCGGACUUUAAUCUUUGGGGAUGUUCUUAGAAAUGCUGUUAAUUUUCCACCUUAAUAAACAUGCAGCAAACACAGGUUAUUAUUUGCAUUAGUGAGCCAAGUGGUUAUGUCAGAUUCUUUCGGUUGGAAGCGUUGGGGGAUGCCAUAAGCUUUUGCAAACUGCCUAGAUUCGUAUGAUAAUGUGAUGACUAAAUCUGAGAAUGGUCGCAACUCAAAAUAACCUAACCAUAUAUGGCUCUUUAAUCUUUAUAACUUCUUUUGAAUUAUUAUUUUUUGGAUAGAACUUCUUGUGAAAUUUGAUUUAUGGUAAAAUCCCGGUUCUUAUUCCCUCAGAAUUUGGAGAAAUUUUUCAGUGCUACGGGAGGACCACGUGGCAGUCUGACGUGGUCCUACAUUCUAAUUAAAUUUAGACAUGUGGAUUUUCUUCAUGAAAAAUUAUUUCAGCUAUUCGGUCAAAGACUAUUUUGGGUUUUAUGUUGUUUUUUAAAUACUAAACCUUAAACCCUAAACCCCAGGUUGAACUUGCUAAAUACCUAUGAAUGUCAUUUCACAAAAAAUAAAAAAUAUUAGUUAAAAUUUUAGUUGUAAAAAAUCCACAUGUCUAAAUUUGAUUAGGAUGUAGGACCACGUCAGACUGUCACGUAAUCCUCCCGUAGCACUUAAAAAAUUUCUCCGGAAUUUGCUAAAGAACGAAGUUGACAUCUAACAAAAUUAAAGAUGGAGUACAAUAUCAUUUUUGUAUGUGAUGCUGGUCUCUGCUAACAUUCAUAUUCUUCGUAAGUGAGAAGUUAUGAGUUUUACCAGUUUUUACUAAUAAAAAUGAAAAAUUGGAGUCUUGUCACCCUUGUUCUUUUUUUUGGCGUGAAGUCUUGUCACUUGUUAUACAAUGGAAUACAACACCCGGGCUGGGCAACUGGGUCACAAAACCCGGAUCCGAGACUAAACCGACUCAAAGUGUUGAUGGCUUUUAUACCCAACAAGUCCCUUAUCAAUGGCUAUAUAUAAAACCAUAACCUGGAAAUCACUGGGAGCCAGAAUAAUAGUCAGUCACAUUUGAAACCCAGAAAAUGCAAAACCGCCACCACUGAACUGAACUCACUUCUUCUCUUCUCUUUCACCUAACAAUGUCACAGAGCGUUCAUCUCAUCUGUAAGUUCCUCAAACCCAAACAACAGACUUUGGCUACUUUUCCAUAAAAACACUUGAUUGAACUCGCUUGUUUGCUUUUGGUUGUCGGGCAAACAACAAACUGGCCUUUAGGUUUCAUUCUUUUGAUUAUUUGUUUUUCUGGGUUUGGAUAAUUUUGCAAUUUUCUGAUACUAUUUUACCUGCAAGUAUCUCCCAUUCCUCUGAAAAUUUGAGGCUGUUUUCGUUUAUUUUGUUGAGCAUCGAAAUUGGUUAUUGAAAUUUGUUGUGUAGAAUUUGAUGUUUAGUGUUUAAGGGUUCCCCAAUAUAUGUUGGCUGAAAGGAUUCUGUAAAAAUAGCACCUGCAUAUGCAAACUAUGUAAAGGAGUUAGCUUUAUUGUUUCGGGAUUGAUAUUUUGUUUUCACGGAAGAUACUUUUGGUAAUGGACUGCUACCGCAUUUUGUGAUAUCAAUUGUAUUCAGUUUACGGGUAAGUACUGGCUGUAUAUGGGAAAUGAACUUAGCUAUGAGGGUUUUAGGUUUUGGUUUCCUUUGCUGGGGGUAUUUGAUUGUUUUAGGUACUUUGUUGAAACAUAAAUUUGGAAUUUUUAGUGUGAGGCCGGUUUAAUAUGUUAUUUUGUUUCCGGUUAUGAUUAGUGUUUCCAAGUAGAUGUGGUGAAUGGUGGUUCAGUAUAUCACUUAUAGCUCUUACUUUCAUGGUUUUGUUAAUUUGCAUCCUGAUUUCGGAUGCUGUUGGUUGUCUUACAGGUUAUGGACCAUCAGAUAGCAAAUGUCUACCUUGUUCUGGAAUUUCCAGAAGAGUAGCCUCUGUGUAUCCUUGCUCUUCUCAUUUCAAGUCGCAGGUCAGGGUUGGAUCACUAAACGGUGCUUAUGCUGGGGCGUCUUUUACGUGCAGAUCAAGUUCUAGUGGUCGUAAUAGAAAUCCAGAAUUUUCAAGGCAAAAUAGGCAAGGAUACUCCCGGGGGAGGAACAGGAGAAAUGAAGAUAGGGAUGGCUUUGAAAACCUUGAAGAAUCUGAUUUACUUUCUGCUAAAAAUGGGCCAACGCACUCCCUCCCUAGUAACACAAAAUUUGGGGCUACUGCAGCCCCUGGUCCCAGAGAAAAAGAGAUUGUUGAGUUGUUCAGGAAAGUCCAGGCUCAGCUUCGGGAGAGAACUGCUGUUAAAGAAGAAAAGAAGGUUGAACCCGUGCAAGGGCAAGGUAAAGAGAAUGAAACUGUGGAUUCUCUUCUUAAACUACUAAGGAAACAUUCAGCUGAACAGGCAAAGAGAACCAGUAAUGGGGUUGGAAACAAAGACUUUAUGUUAGACCAACCAGAGAAGAGUGACCGAUAUAGUGAAAGAAAAAACAGGGGUUCUUUGGAUUCAAAUAACAGCAUGAAGGACUAUGCUGAAGAGCCUACUGCCUCUUUGAGCAGGCCUGCAUCAAAUUUUCGACGCAAGUCUCCCAUUAAUCGAUUGACAUAUCAGCCUAUUUAUUCAGAGGAUGAUGAGAUAGUCAAUUCGGUGCAGCAUGUGAAUUCAACUGACAAAAGGAAAAAGAAUUAUGCUGAAAGAGUUUCUAAACCAGAACCAGAGCAGGAGCCUGAGCUUGACAUUGAUGUGGAGUCGGUACUUGAGGCUGAGCCUGAGCCUCUUCACGUGAACGACAUUGACUUUGAGCCUGAGCCCGAGCCUGAGCAAGAGAUUGUUCAGUUGUUAGAGGAUGAGACUUCAGGUCCUGAAGAAAAUGUUGAUGAUGAUGCUGAUGAGGAGGAGGAGGAUGAAGACAAAGAGCAACUUAUUGAACAGAGGGAUUUGAGUGCAUGUAAGCUACCAGAAUUAAGGGCACUUGCCAAGUCUCGAGGCAUGAAAGGGUUCUCAAAGAUGAAGAAGGCCGAGCUUCUGGAGUUGCUAAGUGGUGGGAGCUUGGAUUGACUCAUGAAUGCACGGGAUACUAGUUCGACAUUUGAAUACAGUUGCUACAUUUUUGAUUUGGUUUUAUCUAUUUUAGCCGCAUUUGCACUUGUUAUUAGUCUUUCACAGAAAAGUUAGUUUGUUGGGCGUUUCCAGUUUGGGGGGUUUUUUCCGGAUCAAUGGCUGGUCUGACCCCAGUGCGAAUUGGCCUGUUUUUUUGUUUUUGUUUAGUUCAGUCAUCUUAGGGAAGCUGUCAGAUUUAAUUUACCUGUAGACGAGUGAGUGAGCGCUCUAUGUAUAACUGGUGAGCUAGUUGAGUACUUGAAAUAUCAAAUUCGUAUCUGUAGUGUCUUACUCAAAAUAUAACUUGUUGGUCUCUUGCUCUCUUUAAAUAAUUUUUUUUCAAUCUUUUUCUUGUUCAUUUCUCUUAGGCCUUCCACACAGGUAUUCCGGAAACUAUGCAACUUGAGAGAAUGUAUGUUAUAGUGUUAUAUACCAUUGCAAAGCGAUAAAGGGUGUUUCUAGAUGUAUCCAGCAAAUUUCUAAAUAAACCCAGCACUUCAAAUUUUGUCACACUUUUCCUGUUUUGCCCUUAAGUCUAUUUACACCCAGCAUCUAUUUCAAAACGUUAAACCCAGAUCCUCCGAUUACUUGAGUUGUGUUUCAGUAUGAAUACAAACAUCAAGAGCAAUAAUUUAUCAGCUCUGCUUUAUUUUUUGCAAACAAUCUCUCAUGUUCUAUGCCACACAAUUAUAAUCUUGAUUUCAUAACUAACGUUUUNNNNNNNNNNNNNNNNNNNNCUCUCUCUCUCCUCCUCUCUCUCUCUCUCUAAUCACUGUUUCUACUUCUCUCUCACUCAUCUCCUCCACUCUCUCUCCUAAGCUUCCCUCCUCAACCCGUUUAUCCACUGCUCAUUUCCAACUGAGGACAAGAUUCCAAAUAAAAAAACUAUCAUUUUGACCUCCUCCUCUAAUGCCGUCGGUGAGGACGGCAAGGUAUUUCCCACACGGAACCGAGCGAGCGCGAACAGCCGACGUGCUUCUCCACCUGACGUAGUUGGACCUUACAGCAUUGACGAUCUCGGCGAGGAGGCGUUUAACUUCCCUUUUUAAAUUCAUCCUUUUAUACAAACGGGGUAAAAUGGGUAAUAAAAUUAAUGUUGGGUACAUUUAACAAUUUGCUGGGUACAUCUAGCAACACCCGCGAUAAAUCAUUUGGAAUUCCCAUGUUCACUGUCCAACAAUCAUCUCUGCAUACCAGUUUUAGGCACUUGUCAAUUUACUGAAAAUAGAGCAACACAAACUUAUAUCAUCACUGAAAUUAUGGGUGUGAUAAGUAAAUGGUCACUUAGAAUUGAGAUUAUAUUUCUUCUCUUUUGCCUUACGAUGCAAUUUCUCUUCAUUUAAUCUAGUAUUUUGGAUAUUGGGGAAGUACAAAAAUCUCAUAGAAAUAAGGUUCAACGUCUAAUAGUUGUCAAUGCAGGUAAAACACUAAAACUGAUCAAAAUUGGACCAACACCAAACUGAGUUAUGUUAAACUGUCAUAGCUUUUUACCGAGUUUUAAUUUCUAAAAAAACCGAUGAAACUAGUGUUUUUUAGUAACAAAUUCGAUGAUCGUCGAAAUUAUUUAGUACUUUUGAAUUAUCACGUGUUUAUGAUUCGAAACAACCUAUUGUUCGACUUGUUCAUUCACUUUAUUGUUUCAUAUACCCCCAACUUCAAUAAUCAUAAGAUUUGUAUUAGUCGGAACUACAGACACAUGGUAAUCCCGGACAAAAAAGGUGAUCGAAAAUCAAAUUUAGCUCACAAUUUAAUGUACAAUUUCAAUUAUCACAACCCAAGCCCAAUUCCCACCUUUACCCCUUUUUAAAAUUUUACAGAAAGAGCGAUAAGAUAAGGCAACAAAUCCACACGCACUCUCACUUCUUCCUCCUUCAACAAUGGAAGCCACUCUCGUCCUCUCCCCCUCCCCCUUAUCCCUAACCAGACCCGCCAACCCCUUCCUCUCCCUCCCGACCCGACCCGGCUCCCGUCCCUACCGCCUCCCCACCAUCCGGUCCGCCAUCUCCCGCGUCAAGAAAGAAGAGACCGUCUCCACCAUCAAAACCAACCUCGAAAACUGCUACCUCCUGGCCGGAAUCAGCUACAAAGGCCUCACCGUCAAGCAAUUCCAGGACCUCCGCAAAGCCCUACCGGACUCCACCAAGCUCAUCGUCGCCAAGAACACCCUCGUCUUCAAGGCCAUCGAGGGGACCCCCUGGGAGGCCCUCAAGCCGUGCAUGACGGGGAUGAACGCGUGGCUCUUUGUGCACAGCGAGGAGAUCCCGCCGGCGAUUAAGCCCUACCGGGAUUUCCAGAGGGAGCGGAAGCUGGAGAACGACUUCACCGGAGCGGUGUUCGAGGGGAAGUUUUACGGUCCCGGAGAUUUCAAGGCGCUGGAGACAAUGCCGACGAGGCUGGAGAUUUAUGCCAAGCUGCUUGGCUCUCUUAAAGGACCGGCCUCGAAUUUGGUGGGGACGAUUCAGGCGCCGGCCAGGGAGCUGGUCAUGACUUUGCAGGCGUAUGUGCAGAAAUUGGAGGAGGAGAGCGGGCAAUAGUAAAGAAAGAAAGAAGCUCUGUAAGUGUAUCUUGAACUUGAAGAAAUAACCAAAAUUUUAGGUUUAUUCUUUGAGUUUUUUGUGUUGUUGUAGAAUGGUUGGGCAUUUAUAUCUGUUGUGUUGAAAUUCGAGGAAUGAAGAGCUGUAGAUUUUGUAAAAUUGGAAUCUUAGCAAGCAAUGAUCUUCAUUUUUGUGGCUAUUUCUGCUUAAUUUGCUCCACUGGUGUGGUUUUUAUACUUGCCAGCAUAAUGUAUGCUUAUAUAGAAGACCCAAUGCCUAAAAAAACAGUUAUGUGUAUACAAUUACAAUCUUCAUACAUGAUAUAAUGAACACAUGAAAUCUAUUCUUGAGUUCUUAGCAUAUGCGCUAAAGCCUGCUGCUUGUGAAACAUUGGAGAUACGAGAUGUAAUUUGCAUAUCUACAUUAAUAGCAACUGUCAUGGUUCAUAUUCAUGGAAAGCAAAAUAAAUGUGUAGUAUAGUGGAACAAAUAAGCCAGGGUGAAAACUCUAAUUUCUUCUUUUGUGGUUCACGAUGAUGAUCAGUGAGGAUAUACAGUAAAGAGUGUAGGCAGCAGUGAUUUAUUUCAGAAUUUUUGGGCUAGAUAGUGGUAAUGCUAAUCCAAUAGUGCCACUUUUGCUUAUAUGACUUUGGUCCAUUUUUUUCCUGAAGUAGAUUUCUAUAUAUGUCACAUUGUCAUUGCUUUCUUAUCUAUAUGUGAUUGGAUAGGAGACGAAUAUAUUUAGGCAUGCCAUUAAACAUACCUAGGAUUUAUCAGUUCCUCAAACAAAAGAAGGGGGAAGAAAAUAAUUUGGAGGAACAUGAAAAUAUCAUAGUGAUUCAGUUUUCAAAUUGAUAUUAAGGAGAAGACUUGCACAACAUGCGUGAGGGUGAAGUUGAAUUGCCGUAAUCCUUCUGAUUACUCAUAAUAGCUCUACCGCAGUGCCCUUAAGACAUUUUCUCUGGAAGCAUGAAAAUUAAAACUAGACAAUGCCUUCUCCAGGCAGACUAAGAAAGACUGAAACAUUGCGCCUAUAUUUAACAUACAUGUCACAUGCAAUAGUUUUCUGGUUCCAUAUUCCAUCACGAGCAGGAUAAUCACGCUUCAUAUAGUUCUACUUUCUUGGGCUCCUCCACUUUGUUUCCUUUUAGCUAGAAAUUUUUGAGAUCUCUUGGAAUCAUAUGAGCAAGGUCUUGGUUCAGUGUUUUAAGAAUGUCUUGCUGAGUGACUUGUCCAGAUGUCCAAUAUGAGCAAGGUCUUGGUUCAGUGUUUUAAGAAUGUCUUGCUGAGUGACUUGUCCAGAUGUCCAACACCAGCUAAGUGGAAGGAAUUAAAAGUUCUAUGCAGAUAUUGUAAUAAACUGGUACCACUGUUAGUUCUCAACCUCUUUGAAAUUAUUAUAUACAAAUCAUUUUUCAUACAAUCUUGAUGGUUGGGAAUAUCCUAGCUUGAAGGUUUUGUAAAUGGAAAUAUGGAAUAUGUUUCAUCCUAUUUACUUGCAGAACCGAGAACAUUGCAUUGGUCUCUUUCAGCUCAACCAAAUUAUCAUACCAUUGGCUUAGUACACUCCCACAAUUGCUUCAAUUAAUUAUUUCUAUUCCUAAAUUAAGUUCAUUUUCUUGUCAAAAUCAUUGUGGGGUGAAUCUUGUUUAAUUUUGUUUCACAACAAGCAUGUUGAGCUAUUUGAUUUCAUAAUUGCAUCAUUGUGUUUGCUUCUCUGGAUAAAGUUUGAUCUUGGUUGCAGUUUUGAGUCUUUUGACACAGUGAUUGACAGAGAAGGCAAGAACCUCUCUAAACUGAUUGUUGUGCCAAAAACUUAAGCUGUUUGUUGUGACGUGGAGCAGAAACUUCAGUAUUUUUUUUUGUCUGAAAAAAAAAAAUCACCCUUUGGUUUUAUGCUUCUACAGAAAAUUUGGUAGUUAUGGAAUUCCAUAAGAGCAAUUUCUCAGGUUAAGAGCGUAUAGAUUUUGGUUUUAUUUUACUGCGGAUCCAUUUUACUCGAGUUUUUCAUGUCAUGUUGGAUUCUAGGAUUCAUGUUAUGCCUUGGCCAGUCCCUCAUGAUUGCCCAUAUCUACACUUACCAGUUAUCAAGUUAUGCCUUUCCCAGUCUCUCAUGAUCCAUGAACCUCAGUAAAUGCUGUAGUUGCAAGGACAUUCAGUACUUAAAUGCAGUCGGCACCAGUGGCAUACAAACUUCCCUGUACUGACGAGUUUCUGGGCUGUAAAACCAAUUAUAAAAAUUGCUUGUAAACUCUGCUGUUAGUACCAGUCAUCCAGAGUACAACUCUACAAGCACUGGAUGGAUGCAUGAACCAGGAAAGAUGACUACAGAAUAGACCUGUGCGAGGUGCGAUUCUGUUGGCAUUUUAGCUGGACAUUAUAAGAAAGAAACAAGAUAAUGAGACCUCAAUUGUCCCCAUGAAAAAUAGCAUUAUUGAACCUGUCACCUAUUUGGGUGGAGGUUUUGGUCAAUGGGCUAAUCAUUCAUCCUAAAAUUUUGUUUGAGAAUGGAGCUUCUGUACAAAAUAGGAAGCCAAAUGUUAUGGACUAUUAGCAAACUCUCUGUUUGUAGAUGUCACCAUUAAUUUAUCGAUCAACAGCAAAGUUGUUGCCUUCAAUAUGUUUUAGAAUGAGUGGCUUGUUAACUCCUCUUUGGAGCAAAAGCAGAUGAACUUGGACAUUAAAAGUCCUUUAUACUCUUCUUCAUGUGAGCUGUUCUGUUAGCUCAUACUCCACACUUAUGUUUCUUUCUUUCGCUUUUGAAGGUGACAUGACAAAUAAAACUCGUUCUGUGUCGAAUAAUUCAAUUACUACUGUUCUCUAAUGAAAAGAAUAUUUCGAUCUUUCGCAAGUGCAGCUCCUCAUGAUAUAGAACCUGGAAUUGACAUUUGAAGACUGCGAUGGAUAUCAGACACAGAAGAAAACCGAAGCAAUCCCACAUUGUUUAGUAGUGUGUAUUGUUAUGUUGUUACUAGCAAUAAGCUAAGAUUUUGCUUACUAAUAGGAUGAAGGAGCAAUUCCACAUCAACGACCCUACCCUCCAGUUAUGUGAAACCAAAUGCACAUGGCUUUGCUUUGCUUAACACAAGUCUGUCCUAAAAGACAGAUUUCCUCCAACUUGUUUCCUCUGUAUGCUCUAAAUCUCACCUCAACGUUUUGCACAAUGCAUGUAUGACAUUUUCUUUGUAUGCGCGCGCCGACGUUGAUGUAUGCGAGUCUCAUUUUAGCACUCAGAUCAUCAUAUGCAUGUUUAGAAGGAGGUAGGCAACACAUCCUUGUUAAUGAAAAUUUUGAAGAGAAAUGGUAAGAUGUCUGCUGAAAUGUCUCACUGUAGAAGACGUGAGUUCUUUUUAGCUAUAAUGAGGUUUAGGAUCCCUGGA
rnacentral:lncRNA from 1 species